rnacentral:lncRNA from 1 species
CCAGGGACAGAGCUAAAGGGACGGGUAAAAUUAGAAACUAUAAAACUAGAAACUCCAACUACUCGCUAUAUGGCUGUUAAUUAGAUAAAAUUAGCUAGACACUGGCUCUAAACUUAUGGUAAAAGCCUUAGACUAAAACUUAUGCGAAUUCGAUAAUACAUUAAGUUAGAUAUAGCUAGACACUCGCUAUAUGGUUUUAGUCUAAGCUUAUUAAAAGCUUUGGACUAGCUACAACAUCUUCAUAUCUUGCAAGAGGAGGUGGAUAUGGAGUAUAGCUAGACACUGCUUCCUUCGUAGGCACAAAAGUCUGCUUGGCGAAUGAAGUUGACGCCAUUGACUAUAUUCCUUUUGUUUUUCAGUAUUCCACCCUUGACAAACCCUUCACUGUUCAAACCACCAACAAUAUCAACCAUUAGCUGUCAUUUUAUUACUGCUCUAUAGACUUAAAUGCAUGCGAAGAAAAAAAAUAUCCAAAGAAUGAAGUCAGAGUAAAAGAAACCCUACCAAGCCAAAACUAAAAGAAAACAAAGGCUAGCAUGCACAACAAGAAGAAAAGCCGAUGACUGAAGAGAAAAGCAGACAAUGCAAAAAGUAAAGGCAAAGAUAGGGAAUAUAUUGAAAGAGAAGUAAACAAGUAACAGAGUACUAUUACUACUUUCCCCUUUCCCUUUUCCCAUUUCUUUUACUACUAUUUUAUUACUAUAUUUUCAAUUUUUCUCUCUUCUACAAUAUUACGUCCAAUGAUUUAGUGAGAGCGAAAGUGAUUCAAAAUCAGUAAAAGCCAAAAUCCAAAUCCAAAUACCUUUUGGGGCCAUUGCUUGCUGCUUCCUCAAACCCUUCUAAAUUCUAAACAAUAAAUGAAUUGCAGACAAAAAAAAAAUUAGAAAAUAGCAUUAAAUAAUUAGUAAAGAAUAGAAUGAUGUGACAACCCUUUCCCCGUUCCACGAAAAUUAAUUUUUCAAAAUUCUGUUUGAAUGAAGAUAAUAUCCAACUAACAAUUAUAACUCAAUUAUUCAAAAUUUGUCUGGAUUAUGCAAAGUAUCGUAAAGAAUCAUCGCACACUCUAACCUCACCAACCUGACAAUUUAAUCUAGAUGGUGAAUGAGCUAAUUUAUUACAAUCCCUUUUCAUAUAAUUAAAAAUAACCUUACGACAAUCGAGGACUAUAUCAUGAAGAUCAAGAACCAAAGUACCCCUGUCCCAGCAUGGUUCGUCCCUUUUCUCAAUUUCCUGUUUUGCUAGCUGUUAGAGUAUUCAAUGAAUGUGACUAAAAGCACGUGUUAAAAAGUUGUUAAGUAGUUAAGCAGUUAGUCAGUUUGGUGUCAGUUACAGCUCAUGCUACACUGCUAUAUGUUUGUAUAAAUACCUAGCCAUUCUGCAUGGCUAAACGCAAGAUAUAUGAAAGGAAUUAUUUUUCUCAUUUCUUGUUCUUUGUAUAAGUCUAAUAUGGUAUCAGUUGUAAGUUCUUUCCUGGCGUUUCUUUCUUCUUAACGGCUGUGCAGAUUUCUUGGUUGAUAUGGCUGCUAGCUCCUCUGAUGGAUUGCUUGACAGCAGGUUCUUCUCUACAAAGAAGAUUAGCGUUCUACUUGAUGAUAAUACGUAUUUGUUAUGGAAGCAGCAGGUUCUCUUGGCGGUAAAAGCGCAUAAGCUUCAGUGUUUUUUGGAUGUUCAACAGACUCUUCCUCCACAGUUUAUUUCUGAUGACAGUGGCGGUCAACAUGAAAACCCAGAAUUUGAACGCUUUGAGCAGCAGGACAGUGCCCUUGCGUCAUGGUUAUUGUCUUCCAUUAGUCAGGCAGUUCUUCCGCAUUUGAUAGGUAUGGACACCAGUGCCAAAAUCUGGAAUGCUGUCGUUACUUUGUUUGGCAGUAAAACCACAUCUAAACUGAUGUUUUAUCGACGAAACUUGCACUCUCAACAAAAAGGAGAUUUGAACAUGAAAGAAUUUUUGAUGAAAAUUAAAAGUUGUUGUGAUAAUCUUGCUAGUUGCGGUGAAGUCAUUAGUGAGCGUGAGCAUGUGACGGCGAUUCUUAAUGGUCUUCCUCCUGAAUACGAAUCUGUUAUCUCUAUUGUUACAGCCAGUCAAGUGCCCUACACAGUACAAGGAGUGGUGUCAAUGCUUCUUGAUGCUGAAACUCGGUAACAGGUGGUCAGUAGUGAUAUCUCUGGUUCUGCUAAUCUUGUGUCUCAUCAACCUUCUGAAUCUGUUGAUUCUAAUGGUUCUAUGCCUGCUUAUCGACCCUCAAAUGCAACUCGGGGGCGUGGUCGAGGACGUUAUUCUAACUCAAAAAUUCAGUGUCAAUUAUGUGGAAAACCUGGUCAUCUUGUUGAUCGGUGUUAUCAUCGGUUUGAUUCAACUUACAAGAGCAAUAAUUACAGGCCUCCCCCACAAGUCAAUAUGUGCGUGGCCGGUCCUUCUGUGAUAACAUGGCCUCCCUCCUCGCCAAGUGCACAAUGGAGUACACCAGGUUGGUGUUUUUCUACUCCGCCCUCAUCUUGGUCUAACCCGUUUGUUGGAAGUUUUUCACAACAGGUCAGCACGCCAGUCUCUGGUGCAACACAGUCUCAAGCAUAUUUGGCAACUCCAGAAACAGUAGCCGACAACUCUUGGUAUCCGGAUUCUGGUGCCACCCAUCAUCUCACAAAUUCGGUUACUUCCAUUGGAGAAGGUGGUGCAUACAAAGGGCCAGGUAAGGUAUUUGUAGGCAAUGGUUCAGCUCUCCCUGUUAUGUCUACUGGGCAAUCAUCCUUACUUACUCGGUCUAGACCACUGUUCAUGAGGUCCUUAUUGCUAGUUCCUGGAAUUACUAAGAAUCUUUUAUCAGUAUCCAAGUUUGCCAAAGACAAUCAAGUGAUGUUUGAGUUUUUCCCUACUCAGUGUCAGGUGCGUGAUCUGUGGACUAGAGAAGUUCUUCUUCGAAGCUCAGAGCAUCAGGGGUUAUAUCGGCUUCAUCUUAACAAGUCUACAGCAGCUCCUGUAUCCUCCACAUCUGCUCAAUGUUUUACAACUACUAUGAAGCUUCCUCUUAGUGUUUGGCACUCUAGGCUAGGACAUCCAUGUCAAGCUGUUCUUACUAAGGCACUUGCACGUUGUAAUAUACAAGCUAUCGAUAUUAAUAAAAUGGUUGAUUGUAUUGCUUGUCAUCUGGGUAAGGAGCGUAAACUCCCGUUUAUCAAGUCCAGCACUGUUUAUACUGCUCCACUACAAUUGGUUGUUGCAGAUGUUUGGGGGCCAGCUCCGGUUGUGUCUAAUGGAUUUCGCUAUUAUGUUGCAUUUACUGAUGCUUACUCACGCUAUACAUGGCUCUAUUUUUUGAAGAACAAAUCUGAUGUUGCUAGUAUUUUUCCACAGUUCCAUUGCCAAGCUGAGAGAGUGUUAGGUGCAAAACUCAAAGUUCUGCAAACAGAUGGGGGAGGGGAGUUUCAAGUGCUGAAAAAUUAUUUAGUUCAGCAAGGAAUUCUGCAUCGCUUCACCUGUCCAUACACGUCUACUCAAAAUGGACUUGUUGAACGCAAGCAUCGACAGGUGGUUGAAACAGGCUUGCCUAUGUUGGCUCAUGCCACCAUGCCAUUAAGUUUCUGGAAUGAAGCCUUCUGUAGUGCUGUCUUUCUGGUCAACCGAUUACCAUCUCAACCUCUAGGUAAUAUAUCCCCAUAUGAACAAUUGUUUAAAACAAAACCUGAUUAUUCUUUUCUUCGAACUUUUGGCUGCUUGUGCUUUCCAAAUCUUAGGCCUUUCACAAAAAUAAAGCUGCAAUUUCGGUCAACACCCUGUGUUUUUCUUGGCUAAUCACCUGCUUACAAAGGCUACAAGUGUCGUGACUCCACUGGUAAAAUCUACAUCACUCGUCAUGUCACUUUUAAUGAAGACAAAUUUCCUUACGAAGCAUUUUGUUCAAAAACAACCACAUCUCCCUCGGUCUCACAAGCUACCAAACUUCUUGUCCUAAGUCCUAGACCUGUCAAUUGCACCAACAUCUUACCUACUGUAAUGCCUAGCAGUACUUCUCUUACACCUAGAUCAUCCCCUAGUAGUCCUACUCAUACACCUAGGCCACCUACUAGACCCGUCACACCCACUACAACUCCCACACCAAUUGGUACACAUGACACGUGUUCCUCUAUACCACAAGUCCUACCUAAUUCACCUUUGACUUCCAGGUCGUCUUUAUCUUCUCAGUUACAACCCAUUCCUACACCUUUAAACACCCACUUCAUGGUUACCAGAAGCAAGGCCAGGGUUUUCAAGCCAAAGAUAUAUCUCAGUAUGGCAUCGUCUUCUUCAAAUGAAGUCCCCUCUGACAUACAUGCCGCAAUGCAAUGUGUAAGUUGGCAGACAGCAAUUUAUAGUGAAUUACAGGCCUUGGUCCGCAAUAACACCUAGACUCUUUGCCCAUUGCCUGAAAAUAGAAGAGCAGUUGGGUGUAAAUGGCUAUUUAAAGUAAAACGGAAGGCUGAUGGUUCUAUCGAUCGGUACAAGGCACGUUUAGUUGCAAAGGGAUUCUCACAACAUGCAGGACUUGAUUUUCAUGAUACUUUCAGUCCAGUUGUUCGAGCCUCUACCAUUCGCACCAUCCUUGCACUUGCUGUUAUGCAGAAGUGGGCGUUACAGCAAGUAGAUAUCAACAAUGCCUUUCUUAAUGGCGAGCUUACUGAAGAAAUAUACAUGGAGCAGCCUCCUGGGUUUGAAGUGUCGGGUGCAGGUGGUCAGCAGCUUGUGUGCAAGCUGAAUAAAGCCAUCUAUGGCUUGCGACAAGCCCCUCGUGCAUGGUUCCAUACGCUCAAGAAGUAUCUGGUCACUCAACUUGACUUCCAUGCAUCAAAAGCUGACUCGUCAUUGUUUAUCCGACAGUCUACUGGAAAUCAUCUUCUGCUCAUGGUGUAUGUUGAUGACAUUGUGAUCACUGGCAGUCGAGUGCAAGAUAUUGAUGAUGUGGUGCGUCGUCUUCAUAACAAAUUUGCACUCAAGGACAUGGGAGACCUCAGUUUUUUCUUGGGCAUUGAUGUUCACCGUACACCUCAUGGAAUGCAUCUUAGUCAUAAGAAGUAUGUCCUGGAGCUCCUUCAAAGGGCCGGAAUGACCGGGGCAACAUCUACACCAACACCCAUGGUGAGCACUCCCAAGCUGGUUAUCUCAGAUGGAAGUUCACUGUUCCCUGAUGUUCAUUUAUAUAGAAGCAUAGUAGGUAUGCUUCAAUAUGUCUGCAUUACUCGCCCUGAUCUGUUCUUUUGUGUCAACAAACUAAGUCAGUAUAUGAGUUCCCCAAGUGACAUCCAUUGGAAAGCCAUUAAACGGGUCUUGCGAUAUUUGGCCGGCACCAGAGACUAUGGUUUGUGUUUUACAGCAAGCUCGUUAGAUCUUGUGUGCUAUGUCGAUGCCGACUGGGCCUCCUCUGUGGAAGACAGACGAUCCACGUCCGGAUAUGUGGUAUACUUAGGCGCCAAUCCUGUUGCCUGGUGCUCCAAGAAGCAGUCGAUGGUAUCUCGAUCAUCUGCUGAAGCAGAAUAUCGCAGCCUAGCCAAUUGUGUGUCCGAACUGCUGUGGAUACAACAACUGCUCAAUGAAGUGGGCAUACCUCAGUCUAAAAUACCCAUUGUCUGGUGCGAUAAUUCCUCUGUCGUUGCAGUUGCUGAAAAUCCCACACAUCAUGCUAAGAUGAAGCAUGUUGAAAUAGACCAUCACUUUGUUCGUGAAAAGGUUGUUGCUGGGCUGCUCCAAGUUCGCUAUGUUCCAUCCGAUCAGCAGAUUGCUGAUGUUCUCACAAAACCAGUUACCCCCAAACAGUUUCCAUUCUUUAGACGUGCUCUUCAAGUGUUGUCUUUUGAUGAGUUUAAGAAAUCAAACAAGUUAGGGGAAUGUUAGAGUAUUCAAUGAAUGUGACUAAAAGCACGUGUUAAAAAGUUGUUAAGUAGUUAAGCAGUUAGUCAGUUUGGUGUCAGUUACAGCUCAUGCUACACUGCUACGUGUUUGUAUAAAUACCUAGCCAUUCUGCAUGGCUAAACGCAAGAUAUAUGAAAGGAAUUAUUUUUCUCAUUUCUUGUUCUUUGUAUAAGUCUAAUACUAGCAAGGAAUCCGAUUCUACCUAUAAGCUGGUAAAACAUUUAAAAACAGCCACCUCUAAUCCCUCCUGAAUAGAACAAACUGCUACAUUUCCAACUUUCGGAACAGCCGCACAAGUUACACAACCAUGGUCAGCUCGUAUAAAUAUUCCUAAGUCAGUCUCUUGCUUCCUUCUAUCAAAACCGGCAUCCACAUUUAGCUUGAAAAAGCUUCUCUAUGUGGCUGUAUCCAUCUCUCCUGCUAAUGCAGUCCUUGUCGAGACCGUGUUUCUUCUGAAUGACCAAACACCUGCCUAAAAAGUUUUAUUUCUAUUGAACCAACAGUGGCAUAGGAUAAUCAUGCUCCUCUCAACCCAUUUCAAAUUACGAAUCAGCAGUCACCUGCAUAAAGUUAUCCCAAAAUUUAGACUCACCAGUAACUAAGUCAAAUUCACCGGCAAGUUAGGACAGAUGCAAUUCCAAAAUCUUCUUCUCAAGCAACAUUCAAACAACACAUGCCAUCCCAAAGUUGCUCGGAAGAAUCCCUUUGAAUAACCUCCAAUGAAACACUUUAAUCAUUGGUAUAACUUUGGAUGGCCACAAUAGUUUCCAAAGAUCUCUACCCCGAUUCUGAUCCUCUACCAACUGGCCAUUAAUCUUUCUUGCCACAAAGAAUGUUGAUUUCACGGUGAAAAUACUCCUACGUAGAUGAAGAAAUUUUCGGAUCAAUUAUAAAAACUUCUUAUUCAAUUUUGAAGUUGCUCUCUUAUCUUAUUCAGCCAAUUUAAAAAAGACAAAACUCAUUUUUGAAUUGAGAAUAACACCGCAACCAUCAGUUAGUUGCUCUCUAAUCUUGUUCAACCAGACAUAAAAAAAAGGUAAACACAUUUUUAAGAUAAAAUCUAAAAGACCUUUGAAGUGUAAUUAUCCAUCCAAUAUCAUGUCUCAAAGACCAUAAUUGGAUCAAAACUAUCCCAAUCCUUUUGUAUAUAAAGGUGAUAAAAUAUGUUUUCAACAUUAAAUUUGACAACCCUUAAAGCAGACUUAACUACUCUAAAAUCAAGUUUUGAAGAUUUUUGGAUUCUCCAAACUCAUUUUUAGGAUCAAGCCUAAAAACUUUUGAAUCAAACCUCAUUGAUUCAAGAGUAAGUUUUGAAGACCCUUGAGUCUAAAGAAAAUCAAAAUUUUCAAGCAAACAUCUCUACAAAUCUAGUUUCAAGAUCAAAUCUCAAAGACACUUGAAGCGUAAUCAUUCAUACAUAAUUUAAAAUUACAUGUUGAAAAUUUAAACAUUGAAAACUUAAGUACUGAAUUUAAGUUAUAAAAUUUAUUUGUAUAUUACUUAAAAUUAGGUACACAAUAUAAUUAUAUUGUUUGAUGGAUGUAAAUUUUAAUUAUAAUAAAUUUUUAAGUUAAAAUUUAAACUUCAAUUUUUUAAAGGGUAAUAUAAGUUUAAAAUAAAAAAAAUUAUGCAAAGGAUAAUAUAAUUAAAAUAAUUAAUUUUUUUGUAUUAAUUAAUCCAUCUAUAAUUUUCUAUAUUUUUUAUAGAAAAAAUUUUAUAUAUUUUUUAUAGAUUAUGAAAUAUUUUUUUUUAUUUUUAACAAAUUUAAUUAUUUCAAUGUGUUAUUAAAUAAGACUUAAGUCUCAAAGUAGGGGCGGAGCCAAGGGGUUGCAAGGGCCCUGGCCCCCCCUAAAAUAGAAAAUUUUACCUUUAGUCCUUUUAUAACUUUUAAAAUUUUAAAUUAAUAUAUAGUAAAAUCACACUUUGGCCCCCUAAGAAUGAGAAAAAAUUGAUUUAAUCCUUCAAAAAUUAUAAAGAUAUAUACUAUUAAAAUGGUAAAAUUUUAUUUUUACUAUUAUAAAAAUAUAUAACUUUAUUCCGACCCCUCAAAAAAUUUUCUGGCUCCACCCAUGUCAAAGACCAUUGGAGCAUAGCUUCAAUUUAUUAUCUAAAUAUUUUCAAAAUAAGUAGUGAAUCAAUAUUUAAAAGAGUUUCUUGAAGGGGAAGAUUUGGUUGGUCUCUCUUACCGUGUUCAAAGUUACUUCGGCGUCAAUGUUUAUUUAUUUUUGUCCAUGAGGUACCUUUACUUGCGUUUACACUAACUGCAGCGAAAGAACCCAAAUAAUGGGUUGACGACCAAGAAAUAAAAUAGUUGUCAUAGUACUUAUAAAUGGCAGAGCUGUGAUGAGAACAAACAUACUAAUUACCAUAGCCGAAACAAUAAUAGUGUUUGUUGUUUUGAGAAUUGGGAGAAAUUGAACAUCCAAUCCAGAAUAUUAGCAGAGAAGCAAAUUAUGGUAACCAUCAAAUCUCCAUUGCCUCUCAUCCUUUGCUGCUACCUCUUGGUAUCUUUCGUCUUCUUCCCACAUGGAGCACUCUCUCGUCAACUACAGGAGGAAGGUAAAAAUGUAUUCAAUUUUCUGUAUGUAUUUUAAUCAUUUUCAUUUCUUUUUUUUAAAACCCUUUACAAACUCAUUAAGGAAGCCUUGUCCUGGUUUAUGUGUAUGAUGUCCAUUGCAUUGAAUUGCAGGUGGUGGCAAUAAACGAAGCAAAGCGGACGUAAAAAGAAGUACAUCACGAUCAGCACCAUCUUGGGUUGGCCAGGAUUCACAUCCACCACCGUCUAGCCAGGUUUCAAGGACAAGUUCAAGUUCAAGUCAAUCUACGGUCGUGGAGUAUUCUCGUCAGGAUUCCAACAGCCCCACAGGCCCGGGAUGGAAUUGCCAAACCACAACUACUAGUAAUGGUUACGCGAGAUCGUGUUCGAAGACCACUUAUCAAUCCUCCACCAGCCCAUAAAGUUUAUGUUUCGUUCUGAGAUAAAGCUUGGUGUGUAUUCUGUUGUUGUUUGGUAUGUUUCGCCCAUACCAGCCAAAAUGAUAUUCAUGGCUGGUAUAUUAACUGUGUACUACGAAUGAAAUAAAUGAUAAAAGAAGGAUAUAUAAUAAAGUUAAACCUUAAUCUUUUUUUUAUCAAAUUAGGGGUCUUCAUAAUUUGGUUAAAACUGAAUUAACUAAUCGAACUGAUUUAAUUAGGUUAAUCGGUUCGUGAUCGAAUUUAGUUCAAUUAGAAAUCGAUUAAUAAUUUUUUGAGAUUUCGAUUAUCGAUUAAUACGGUUCUGAAUUAAGUAAUAUAUUAUAUAUAAUAUAUUUUUUAUAUUAACAAUGCAUGUUUUUUAAAGAUUUUAAAAGCCUCAAGUUUAGUAUGACUUGAGGAAACCUUGAGUUUACAUUUAAAAAUAACCCAAAUUUCUUUGAUUGCUUAAAUAUAUAUUGAUUGUCAACUCAAAGAUAAAGUUUUGUAAUAUCUGUUCUCUUUAAAUAAAGAAUAUAUUGAGACGUACGUUUAGAAGUUCACCUUUUUAAUUGGUAGAAUAAUAAUUGCAGUUUUUAAUUUUUAUAUUUUUUAUUAAUUCGACCCUAGUUCUAUAUAAAAAUCAUAAAAAAUUUAAAUUUAUUUUAAAAAAUAGAAACUUCUAUAUAAAAUUUCUAGAAAAAUAAAAUCUCAAAAAUGUUGUUGAAGAAUUAAUACGUAUGGAAAAAAAUAUCAUUCAAUAGAAUCUAAUAACAAAUUAAAAACAAAACAAAACCAAAAAAAAAAGGUUAGAUCAUUGCAUGCUUCCUCAACGUUUUACAAAACUAAAUUAGUAAUAUUUUCAAGUCAGGUUCCAUGCCCUUGAAGAACAUCAAGAAUUGAUAGUACAGAGGCUUGUGAAAUCGAUUUUGAUGUCAUUCUUUUAGCAAAACAUAUCACAAAUUUUCUUUUUCAAACUCAAUUCAGAAUUUCAUUUCAUUUAAAUUAUUUUUCAAAACAGAAAUUGUAAAAACAAAUUAUAUUCUAGUUUCUUUUCUUUUCUUAUAACGAAAAAAAUAUGUCAAGAAACAAAAAAGUUAAAAAAUAGAACCAAUAAUUUUGCUUAAUAUAUUUUUUUUUUAUUUUUUCUAUGUUUUAUUUAAAAGAAUGGGCAUUAGAUAUUACCAUACAAAUAAUACAAAGAAAAAAAAUUAGAGGAUUUAAAAAUAAUUCUCCCUCAUUUUCUCCCUUUAUCUAUUUUUGAAAUUUUCAUUUACUUUUAUUUUAUUUUAAUUUUAAUUUUUAAAAUGUUCUAAUUUUUUUAAAAAUUUUCAAUUUUCAUCAUUUUAUAUUAAAGAAUAAAAUUAUUAUUAUACCAAUUAAAAAGGUGUCGCUCAAUGAUCAGGUGACAAAGAAAAAACAUUUCGAAAAGCUUAAUGAUCAAAUUAUAAUUUUUCUUAAACUAAAAGACCAAAAAAAUUUUACCCAUAAUUUAAUGACCAAUAGCGUAACUUACUUAAAAAAAUUAAUCACAAUUGAGCUUUGAGCUGGAGUUUAUACUUUAUCACUAGUAAUUAAUUUUUAAAAAAUUUAUACGUUUAGUUUAUUUUAUUUUUUAAUAUUUUCUUAAAAGUAUGUGCCACUUUACAAUGAAUGAAAUAACUUUAAUAAAUUUUGUUAUGAAAAACAAUUACAUAAGUCAUGGAGUAUCCUCUUUCGAUUGGUCCAACUAUUUAUUGUAUUUAGACUUACAUCAUAGAGAGCAUAUGCUGCUAUAUAUAUCGAAAAUCUUGAGAAUAGGGCUUCAAUAAAAUUUACUGUCAACAUCGGUAGCAACCAAGUCAAUGACUGUUCAUUUAGCUUUCCUUUUCCUGGUGUUUGCUUCUCUUGUAGCUCUUCAUGAAUGUACGUGUACUCAAUUACAAUUUACACUGUUGUUUUUCUUCUAAUUGUUGAUAUACCCUUUUGAUGUUUCAUUUUGAUUUGAUCAGGCACCAAUGACGAUGAGCUUGAUCGGAGCAUACCAACAGGCAACGAAAUAAUACUAGGACCAUGCAGUCAUUCAACAUGCGGUGUAGAAUCAGCAUCGGGGAGCGACAGCAUAUUCCGAAAUUGUUGGUGCUGUUUAUUACUAAAAUCACAUCUUUGUUAUACCUAUAGAAUUGUCUGCGAAAACAAUUGCGCACCCGGACCACCUCCUGAUCUUGCAAUUCCUUGACUGGAUCACCUUGCUUUUGCAAGGCUGAGAUGACCCUCUAGUUGUUGAAACCAACAUGUCACUUGUUUCCAAUAAUCAUGAAUAAGAAGUGGCCAAAAUAAAUUUUAUUAUUCGAUUGUGGUAUCCAUCCUAAGGCUCUAGCUUAGAAAUUUAUAUGGGUAAUUACAGUUACCAAAAUAUUAAAUACUCUUCUAACCAUUAAUACAUGAAAAUAUUAUCAUUUUAUCCCUCCUAAAUAAUAUUUUUGUCCCUUCCAAAAUCCUCCUAUAAAUAUGAGGCAUUUUACUAAAAACAAAUCUUCUUCUACUCUCUCUCUCUCGACUCUCUCUCAUUCUUUCUGAAACUUUAGAAUUUUUCUUAAAUUGCAUUAGAGAAAAUUUAGUCUAGGAGUUUAGGUUUCAAGAAGAACCGUUUGUGACUCCUUCAGACUUUCCUGUGAAUUUAUCCUAGUCCAAUUGAGUUCUACCUUCCUUAUUUGAGUGUACAAAUAUCGAAGAACUGUGCUAACCUUGAAAAACUACAUCCACUAUACGAUUACAACAAGCAAGGUAAAUUCAUUUCUAAGACAGUAGUUCUUCCACGGUACAGUAAUACUUUAUUUAUUUCCAGCAGACAUUUGGUAUAAUGAAAAGUUAUCACUUACGAAAAAACUUAAUUAGUUAAAUGUUAUUUCAAUUUUUGAUAUGCAAAAAUUGAUUCACAAGUUGCAUAUCUUCAUAAUCUCAAGUCAAUAUGAAAGUUGUUUUUCAAAUGUGUUCACGUAAUGUAUUAAAUCAAAAUAUGAGAAAAACAGUAAACACAACUAGCAUGACUUGAACCCAAGUCACAUUUAAGGUAAUAAACACAUUUGACCAUCAAACCAUCAUAUAAAAUUCUAAUAUUAAAUAUUUAAUUUAUAUAUUUAUUAACAAUAAAAUUAUUAAAAAAAACAUUAAAAUAUAUAAAUAUUAUCUUUUAUUUAUAAGGAUAAUUUUUUUAAAAUAAGAUCACAUUUUUUUAAAAGUGUUGAAUGUACCAAAAAUAUAAUUAUAACUUUUUCAAAAUUUUAAUCAAUAUUUUUUAAUAUACGACAAACGUUAUAAAGUAACUUUUCACACCUCCAUAAUAAACCACGUUUCAAUUAUGAGAUGAAAAAGCACCAAACACCCUGCUUGAAAACAUCCACGUGCUUUUCAGAAAUUGAGAUAACUUCAAUCUGAUCCUUCAAACUUCAUAUAUUUAAUUUCAUCCCUUAUUAAGUUUUAAUUGCUUCGAUUCAAUCCCAAUUUAAUUCUAAUUGCACUCAAUAUAUAUAUAUUUAUAUGUUUAUAUAUGAUUUUUAAUUUGAUUGUUUAACUUUAUACUUUACCAUUAAUUUAAUAUACUUGAUUUAUUUUAUAAAAAUAAAAAUAGAAUUUUUUAAUAAAAAUGGAUUAUUUUAAAAGAUAUUUAUUAAAAAAUAUAAAAACAUAAUUUAUAAUUUUUUUAGAACCCUAAAAACAAGAUCUAAUAUAAACUGUAAGCCUAAAAAUAAUAGCCAAAUACAUGCAUAAAUCAAGAAUCAAAUAAAUUAUAGUCUUUAAUCUUUCACUGAAUCGCAUAUUCAAAUAUUAAUCCAACCUAUAUUUAUAACAUAAACUUAAAGGGUUUCAAUCAAUAUUUUCAACAUGCAAAAUUGAUGGACAAAAUAUUUAUUAGUCGAUACACCAAAUCAAUAUUUUAAAUCCUUAAAAUUCUAAAACAAAUCGAAACCUAAAAAAUUUAACAUAAAUGCAAAAGAUUUGGCAUGUAUGAUAAAAAGAACACUGAAUCCAAAUAUCAAGUUCAUAAAAUUUUAAAAAAACGAAUAAAACCCAAAAAUAAUAGAGAAUCAAUUCUUUCUAAAUGAUUUAACAUGACGAUACUCGGAUGCCACUUGUUAGAACCGUAAAAACAAGAUCUAAUAUAAACUUAAAAUUAUAAACCAGAAUCUAUCAUGUCAAAUCAUUAAAAAUAAAUCAAAAAUAAAACUAGAUGCAGAAACAUACUUGAAUUCAUCGAUUUCUUGAAAUCUACGAAUCUUGGGGUUUUGAUAUUUCAAAUUAGUACACAAGUAAUCUAGAGAAUGUGGCUCUCUUUUUUCUAAAGAUGGGAUAUUAGAAAAGUUACGUUGUGUGUAAUUCGGAAACCAUAACCCUAAUAUAUAAUUUUGGCACAUUAGCCCUAAUUUUUAAUCAACCCAUCAUCAAUUAGAAAUUAGUUACUAGAGUUAUUUGAUCCAUACUUUAUUUAAUAAUUAAAACCCAACAAACAUUAAACAAAUUAGAUCCCUUUUAAUUUGGGCUAACAUAUUAUGAUGGCAAAUAAUAACAUGUUAUAUAGAUGUUCAUAUUUUCCAACAAAUUUAUGUUGCAAUCUUUUAAGUAAUAAUAUUAUUUGUAGAAUUUUAUAAAAUUUUAUAAAAACUUUUAAGAAAUAAUUAAAUAUAAUUAAAUUAAUACAUAUAAUUAACCCUAAACCCGAAAUUUAUUUAAGAAUAUACUUAAUCAACCAACCUAUACAUUGUACGGGAUAAUCAAACUAGUAUAUAUAUAUCUUGUGCAAUGAACGAGACAGAAUUUUGCAGUCUUAUAAAUUUAUCAGAGAUUUCAAUUAUAUUUAAAUUAUUAUAUAUUUAUAUAAAUAUAUUUAAAUUAUCAAAAUUGAAUAAUAUAUUAAUAUUUAUUCUUUGUCAUAUUAAAAAAUCACCUUUAUUGUAUAAUUCGACAUCGCGUGCAUGGCGUUAAGGAAAAGGCAGUCCGUCAACAGCGUAUCUCUGUGUUUUUAUACGUGGAAGUCAGCCAAUUCACUAGUUGUCCCUGCAUGUAUUACCGUAUUCAAGGCUCCCCUUGGCAAAUUCGAGCCAAUCAAUUUUUGGGAUAAAAAUCAUUUGUAGCCCUCCCAUUUUGAUUCAACAACAUGCAUGUUUUCAAUUAUUUUUAUUCAUAAGGAUUUUAAUAUUGUUUUUAAAGAUUAUUAUAUAAUCAUAUUUUCGUUAAUUCAUUAACGGGUGUUGAUUAGUAUGAAGAGGUGAUUAAAAUUCUUGUUAAACAUUCGUUUGGUAUAAAUUCAAACUAUGUUACUCUUAUCUAGAUCUGAUCAUGGAUCGAGCUAUCCGUUCAUGCUCGAAGGCCUGCCCAAAAAGUGGGAGAGCUUGGGCAAAAAUAUAGGCCCGAAAAAUAGGCUUGGAAAAUAAUAAUGCCCGUUUUCUAAAUGGACUAAGCCUCGGGUAUUAUUUUUUUGGAUUGGGCCCGCUCCAAAUAAAUUGUUUUAUUGUUGUUUUACUGCUAUUUUGUUGUCAUUUCUUUGUUGUUUUGCUAACAUUUCGCUAUUGUAUUGUUACUAUUUUGUUAUUAUUGCUUGGAUAUUGUAUAAUUCUUAUUUUAUUAUUAAUUUUGUUACUAUUUUAAAAGCACUUGCUUGCUAAGUUGCAACUAUCUUAGUGUUAUUUAAGUAUAAAGACUUUUUUAUAAAUGUAUUUUUAAUUUGUUGAGAAACAUUUAUUUUACUAUUUUUAGUGUAUUUGACGUAUUUUAUUUUUUAAAUUAGUUUUUAUAUAAAAAUAAUUUAAAAAAAUUAAUAUGGGCGAGUUGAGUUAGGCUCGGGUUUAGCAUUUUAAUCUGAGCCAAGCUUGGGCAGAAAUUUAAGCUCAUUUUUUCGGCCGAGCCCUAGCUUAAAAUUUUGUAUCGGCACAAUCCGAAUACGACACCUGAUCAAGUCUACUCCCAUCCUACCCUAAUACUAUAUCUAAAAAAAACUUUAAAUAUUGUUUUAAUUGACUUUUUUUUAUUUAUAGAUUCACCACUUCUAUUCUUAUUCUUUUUAACCCGAAAAAAAAUGUCCAACCCAUCUUGUGUUUGUAGUGAAUAACAGAAACGCAACUAGCGUGACUCAUAUUCAGAUCACACUUGGAGCGAUAAACACUACCAUAAGUUCAAUACACAAAUUUCUAUCCAACCCAUCUCUUUUUCUUUUUUUCUUUUUUUGAUGAAAAAUAAUACAAAAUUACAUGAGAUCAAAUGCACAAACGUAUCCGAACCAUCUUUUUAAUUGAUGCAAUAUCGAUUUGUCCUAACUAAACUUAAAGUCUUGUAGUUUUUGUUUUAUACAUAGAAACCUAAAAGUCUUACAAUAUUGACAAAUAAAAUGAACCAACCCAAAUUUUGGGUUGAUUGAGAUAAUUAAUUGAAGGCAUAGUCAAGGGCGUAAUUAAGGCCACUGAAUUUUAUAAGUGUUUUAAUAUUAUAUAUUAUCAUUCAAGAAAAGUGUAUAUUUAUAUCUAACCCCCUAAAUUUUUAAGACUUUCUGAAGUGCAUGCCUUAUAAUAUUUAAGGUAUAUUUAACGUUUGAUCCCUUAAUUUUCUUUUAAUUUUGAUCCAUUUUAAAUAUUUAGCUUGAAAUUAUUAAAUUUUGAUAACACUUCUGGUCUAGAUCUCAUUUAUUAAUUUUAAUUUAAUUAUCUCUAUUUUACUUUAAUAAAUCAAGCAAACAUAUUCAUGUUAACUGGUAAAAUAACAUUACAUAAUUUUAUGCAUAAUUAGGUUAAAAUUUUUUAACAUAAGGUAUUAAUUCUUAUUAAAUUUUCUACACACGUAAUGUGAUGACACUAAUUUAUUAGUUAAUAAUGUCAUUAUUAUUAUUUGAAUAGUUAAAGAGGACACAAGAUUAGUCCCAACCAUCCCAAAUCAGGCUUAAUUAAAAAAAAAAGAGGUACUCUACACUCAAGGUUACUAAAUUAUUAGUAGGUUUACAAUUUGAUCAUUUGACUUUAAAAAGUUACAAAAUAGUCAUUGAAUUAUUUGAGAGUUUUCAUUUAAGUCAUUGAACUAUUCAAAAGUUUUUAUUUAAGUCACUGGGAUAUUAAGUUUUUUUUUUUUUAGUUCAGCCAGCGAGCUCCAAAUGACGAUUCGACGAUGGUAUGGUGGAUCAAUACCCAUUGACGAGAAAAAGAACAUUCCUUAAAUCCAAGUUGAUCUAACGAUCAGUGUUGAAGAUCGGGGAAGAAAACUAUUUCGAUUUUGGUUUGCAGAUUCGUGACAAAGUUGCUUCAUGAAAAAAAUUGAAUUGUAGAAGAGAAUGGGAAUGAGAGCUUUCGAUUGUUGCAGAGGUUGCAAGUAGAGAAUGUCAUACAACAUCGAUUUUAACAACCCAAUAACUUAAAUUAAAAUUUUUAAAUAAUUUAAUAACUGUUUUAUAAUUUUUUUUAAAAUUACGUGAUAAAAACGUAAAUUGAAUUUCAUAUUUUUGUCACCAAAAAGUUAAACUAAAAAUAUUCUAAAUUUGAAGUACCUUUAAUCUUGACCCCUUAUGUCGCCUCCUUGGCAUUGUAUUUAUAAGAAGGAUGUCUGCCAAAUGAUUAAAAAGGAGACACCCACGCAAGUUGCAAGAUAUUAGCAGAUAAGCAACUUAUGGAAACCAAACCUUCAUUGCUUCUUAUCCUCUACUGCUUUCUCUUGGCAUCGUUUCUCUUCUUCCCACAUGGAGCAGACUCUCGUAAACUACUGCAGGGGGAAGAAGGUAUUAUUUAAGCUUUAUAAUUCAAUCAUUUUCAGUAUAAAUAAAUAUAAUAUCUUAUAUCCAAUUCUUGGAUUUGCAGAAGAUGGCAAUGGACCAAAAAAAGCGGGAGUAAGAAGAAGUCCUUCAAGAUCAGCACCAUCUUGGGUAGGCCAUGAUUCUCCUCCCAAUUCUCCUCCCUCGCCGCCUUCGCAGCAGUCAUUUGAAAAUCAAGUGCGCAGUGAAGCGGAACAAGAAGCCCAACGUGAAGCUUGCGAGUAUUCCCGUAGUUAUACUAAUGCUUAUUGUUCUCCUUAAUUUUAAAAGCCUUAAAGCCGCCACACCCAACAAUUAAGAGUCUGUCUUGCGCUUUCGAUCCUUCCGGACCUGGGUAUAGAUGUUAUCUACUUUGUUUGUGUACCGAGUACUGUGUGUUUUUAUAUGAGAAAUUAGAGUGCCACAAACUAAAAAAAAAAAAGAACUUCAAUGUUGAAAGUUCAAGUAUUAGUUGUUGGCGGAUACAUGCAACAUUAAACAUCAGUUCCAGGUUAGUUAAAGAACUGUUUAAUCUCUGUUAAGUGUAUACUCUUUCUAAUUACUUAGAUUACAAGCUUUUGUUAUGUAUGCAUUAUUAAAGGGUAAACUAUAAAAAUAGUUACUUUUGUUUGCCUCAUAUUAUAUUUUAAUCACUUAUGUUUAAAAUGUUACGUUUUAGUCACUUACGUUAUCGUUUUGUUAUGAAGUAGUCAUUUUGCCGUUAAGCCCCAUUACCUCCCUAACAAAAGUCCUAUAUGUCAGUCAAAUGGGUUUUAAAUGCCAACUUGGAUGUCCAAUUGGGACAGGAAUAGGUUUUUAAUUAAUUGAAAAUUUUAAAUUAAUUGAGGGGUAAAGUGCAAUUUCAUCAUAGAUUAACUUAUAAUUUUAUUAUUUAUAAAGGCCCUCAUUGGUGACAGAUAUGAUUCAAAGCUACAUCCAUUUGCUUGAUUAUGGUAGAAAACCCAUAGUUCGAUGCAUAUCCACAAGGUAGAUGUCAUAUUCCUGUAGGCAAUACUUCAAAGCCUGCAUUAGAAGAAAAAAAAAAUGAUGAGCUACAGCAUACAGUUGGAGACUAGAGCAACGGCAAUAAUAUUUCAAUUUUCCCGGCAUCAGGAUUGGCUAUGGCAGCUAAAGCUUCUUGGGAUAAAUCAAUGGUGCCUUGACAACCAGAUGGGCAAUAAUCAACUAUUUUCACAACCAUAUAAUCCUGUCCUCUACAUGGAUUAGGGUCACCUUGGUUGGUUGCUCCUCUGCAUUCAACUUUGUAAUUUCUCCCGCAAGCUGACCCCCCGUCCCAAAAAGCAUCACUGGCAGCAGCAAUCAUCACUCCAUCAUUUUGGUAUCCAUUACAAGCAGAUGCUGCAAUUCCAACCCCCAAAAUAUUCAUUAGUCAUCAUACAAUCAGUCGCUCUUAGAUACAUAGCUAUUGAAUUAUUUAAAGAAUGAAAGUGAGUGCAAAGGGGGGCUUACGAACUUAUGGAGGAGUGUAAAAGGUGGCAGUCCCUGUAUCUGCAACAACUUCCCAGGAAGGAGAAGAAGGUAAGGAUAAAUGCAAGGGCUAUGCAGAAAAGGAUGCUAAGUUCCCUCAUUUUUGUUAGAAAGGGCAGAAUUAAGUUUAAUGAAAGGAAUGAUGGGCAAUGGUGAAAGAAAGGAGAGGUAUAAAUAUCCGGUUUGGGAAAAUUAAUUUAUACAUAAUGAAUGAUUGUAUUGUUGCUGAUUCAGCCUUAGCUCGAUUAGCAUCGUUAUUAUUGGCCGUGUAGGAGGAUGUGAGUUCGAGUGUAUUGAAAGGAUUAUCCUUCAAUUUUAAACCAUAAUUUUUUUUAUAUAAUAAUUGGGUAGAAUAAUGAAAUUAUUUGGGAUCAAACUCAAACUCUUAUCCAUACAAUAUAAUGCUUUUACAAGUGGAUUAAAAAAUUAUUUAAAAGUUACAAUUACAUAACUAUUUUAUUCAAAUAAAUAACAAAAUUUGUCAUACUAAUUACAUCUUUAUUUUCAAAAGUAAGUAUUAAGUAUUAACUAAAUCAAUUGAUGAAUUUGCAAGUUUAUUACUUUUAUUUUUUUUAUGUAAAACAAAUAUUUGUACUGACAAUUAAGUUUUAGCUCGGUUGACAUUGAUAUGGACAUUGUUGCUAGUGCAGGAGGAUGUGGGUUUGAGUACGCUAAAGCACAUUAUCUUCUUAGACAUUGUAUCAAAAAAUAUAUAUUUGUUAAUCUUAAAUGAGAUGCUAUGUAAAUUUCUAAAAAGCUAGAGGAUGCUCAUAUGGAUGUAUGUAUAUAUUUUUGCGUAUUUGAAUUCUUUAAAUAUAUUAUAUGUGCAUAUAUAAAUAUAUACACAUAGUUUUAAUCAUUUUUAAAAGUUUUCAUGAUUGUUUAUAAUUUCCUCUAUUUUUGUAUACUUUUUAAGAAAUUAUUCGUAACAACAAAUAUUUAUGUCCGUUUUUAUAUUUUUAUAAUUAUUUGAAAAAUCACAUUCAGGAUGAACAUAUACUAAUGGUUGUCUAUGUUUUGGGUUUUGGGUUUAUUUGUCUGUAUCAUCAUGAAUGUAGUUUUUCAAAUAAUUAUAAAAAAAGUUAUUUAAAAAAUUUUAUUUUUUGAAAAAUAAUCACAUCAAUAUGAGGCACAUGUGGCAUGUGGCAUGUCACAUAUCACUAUUUAGUUGCUUUAUGAAUCAUGUCAACAUUUAAUAAUAUAAAUGGAUAGAAUUUUUAAUAGAAAUGUCAAUUUUCUCUUUGGUCUUACGUAAAAGGUUUAAUUUGUUUAGUUUUUAGCAGAGGGACAAAAUAUAAUCUGACUCCUAGCAUAGGGACCUUCAUGGUAUGUACUUUACUUUUUCUUUUCAAAUAAAAAAAUAAUUCCAAUGUGGAUAUUGCCCUCCUUGUCAUCAUUUAAUGAUGAAUUUUUAAUAAAAUAAUUUAUUUGUAUUAUUUCUAAUGUAUAAAAGUUAGGGUAAAUUACACCCAUGGUCACUUUUGUUUACCUUAGGUUACGUUUUAGUCACUUAUGUUUGAAAUGUUACGUUUUAGUCACUUAUGUUAUCGUGUUGUAACAUUUUAGUUAUUGAGCCGUUAAUUGUCGUUAACAAUAUAACGAUAAGCUAAUGUGGCGCGUUAAAUCAUCAUUUCAAACAAAAAAAUUUAGGUUAAAUUAUACAAUUGGUCCCCAUAUUUUUUAUUUUGAGCAAUUUAAUUUUUUCUUUUAUGUUCUUUUAACUUUUUUUUUCAUUAUUUUCCAUUCUCUUCUGCUUUUCCCUCUAUUUUCCUACCUUCUCCAUUUCUUUCAACAUAUCAGGAAGUCGAAUUGGCAGUGAAGAAAAAAGCAUGGUAUGGGUUUAAUGGGUUUUGGUUAUAGGCAGUGAUGGUUUUCGACUUCCUACUUAUUUCUUCACUGCCAAUUCGACUUCUUGAUAUGUUAAAAGAAAUGGAGAAUGUAAUAAAAUAUAAGGAGAAACAUAAAAUAAUGGGAAAUAAUUAAAAAAUUAAAUAUGAACAUAAAAAAAAUUAAAUUGCUCAAAAUGAAAAAAUAUGAGGAUCGAUUGUAUAAUUUACCCUAAAAUUUUUGUUUGAAAUGAUAAUUUAACGUGACACGUCAACUUACCGUUACACGGUUAGCGACAAUUAAUAGCUCAGUGACUAAAAUGUUACAACACGAUAACAUAAGUGACAAAAACGUAACAUUUCAAACAUAAGUGACUAAAAUGUAACCUAAGGUAAACAAAAGUGAUCAUGGGUGUAGUUUAUCCUAAAAGUUAAUUUGUUUAUUUUUAAAUAGCAUAAAUAAAUUGUAAUUCGACUCAUAAAACAAGUGCCAUGAGAAGUUACAUCUAACCGCAUCCAGCCAGUUUUCAGAGACAGUAUGCUCCUCCAACUGCGACGGUACAGUCAUGGGUGUACUCUCCUCCGGCUCUCAAGUCAUGGGUUGAAGAGCCCAGUGAAGCUUCCAGCUGGACCAGAAAUUAUACCCAAACUAAUUGUGAUACCUAACAUUAAAGCUGCUACACCCAGCAAAACUAGCUGGAAGAAAUAUGAAAUGCUAUUGCCUUGAACCGAUAUGGGUGUGUAAUAAACAUGGCAAGAAUUAAAACUUCAAAUGAAGAUCCUCUUUAUUAAUUGUUGAAUUGUUAUACAGUUAACUGGAAACUGCAUAAGAUUCAAUUCAUUAUUUUUCAAAAUGUUCAUCAUUUAUCAUCCACAUACAUAGGAAUAUUCACUUCGAAAGUUAAAGAUGCCAAUGAGACCCACUGCCAUAUUUCGACCCAUAUCCGCAAGGGAGAUGUCAUGUUCCUGCAGGCAAUACUUCAGACCCUACAUUGCAAAACAUGGAUAAGUUACAAUCUAAAGUUGGAGAAACACCUGAAUGCUUAAAUUGAUUAUGAGAUUAACAUACUGAUGAAAGGAAAUUUUAAUUUCCCCGGCAUCUGGAUCGGCUAUGGAAGCGAAAGCUUCUUGGGAUAAAUCAAUGGUGCCUUCACAACCAGAUGGGCAAUAAUCAACUACUUUCACAACCACAUACUUCUUUCCUCUACAUGGAUGAGGGGAUUGGUUGGUUGCCCCUGUGCAUUUAACUUUGUAUUUUCUCCCGCAAGCUGCUCCAUCGUCCCAAAUUGCAUCACUGGCAGCAGCAAUCAUCACCCCAUCCUUUUGGUAUCCGUUACAAGCAGACGCUGCAAUUUUUCAACCUCAAAAUAUCAACUAGUAAUCGUACAUUAAUUUAGCCAGCUAUUUGGGUUAAAUGCAUCCGAAAUUUUAGGUCUGCAUAACCAUUGGAUUACUGCAAAGAGUAAAAAUUAAGGCAAAGGGGGCUUACGAACGUAUGGGGGAGUGUAGAAGGUGGCAGUCCCUGUGUGUGCAACAACUUCCCUCAAGGUGAAGCUGAGCAUAAAUGCAAUGGCUAUGCACAAAAGGAUGCUAAGCUUCGCCAUUCCUUACUUGCUACAAAAGGUGGAAUUGAUUUUAAUAAAGCGAAGGGAUGGGCAAAUGCUGAAAGAAAGAAGAGCUUUAAAUAGCGGCUUCGGAGAAUUACUGUACGUGAAGCCAUAAACAACUGUGUUCUCGGAUUUUACGUACAAUACAUUCUGAGGUUCAUUCUCUGUAAUUUUUCUUUCUGUUUGAUUCUAGCAACCAAUCAACAAGCUUUGCGAUUUCUUAAUAUUAGAUUUUGUCACACCAACUAAAUCAACGAUAUUAUUAAUUUUAGAUUUUGUCUGAAAAACUAAAAUUUAUUCAAUAAUAAAUAUAGAUAAUAAAUUUACAUUUUUUUAUCUUUAUAUUUGUAAUUUGUAAUUAUUUUUAUUUAAAGAUGAUAUAAAAGUAUAAAAAAAGACAAAUAUUAAACUUUAUUUUGUUACAAACUUGGUUGCUAUAAUGAAAUAUUGUUAUAGAAAUGAUUGAUUGCAGUUUGUCGAUUAAGGUUUAGCUCAAUUAGCAUUGUUGCUAUUAUAACAAGAAGGACAUGGUCUCGAGUAUGCUUAAGCAUAUUUUUCUUCUGGUUUAAGAAAGUUAAAGGUAGAAGAAGUAGGGGAGAGAUCCACUUACACCGGUGUAAAAUUAGAAUAGUUUUAUACUCUUCCAUAACUUUUCAUACUACUAACAUUUUAACAAUCCAACCAUUGAAUUUAUUAAUAUAAUUUUAUUUGUCAUGCAUGUAAAUUAAUGAAAAGAUUCUAUAUUCCUAUCAUAUCAAUCUAAAAUAUUAUCAAUAAUAAUAUAUAUUUAACGGUUGAUUUUUUUUUACAUACAACAAAUAAUUAUAAAUUUUUAAUUUAUGACAAGCUCGACAGGCAUAAUCUACAUGAAUAAAACAUAAAAUAUUUAUAGUAUAAAAAAUUAUGAAAUGAAGUAAAACCACUUUAAAAACUUACACCGACAUAAUCAUACCAUAAAAAAAAUAUGUUAGAGAUUGUAUGACCUGAAUCAUGUCACUUGUUGAAGAAAUAAAUACAGUAGCAAAAUAAAGAGAUCCAUGGGGGCGAAAGGCCGAGGGCCAUACAGCACAAGUUAAAUUCGUAUAGAACUAUUAUUCUUCUAUUUGACUUUGAUUAGAACAUGAUUUUUCAACCAUUAAAUAGAUGUAGUCGAAACUCCUCUUGUAUCAUUCGUUUUUCAACAUUAGUGAAUCUCUUCUCCUCUGCCCGUAAUUUUUUUCCCGAAAGGGCUUCCACGUAAAAUAUGUCUGUUAUAUUAUUUUUCUUUUCUUAUUGCUUUGUAAUCAUUCUACUGCCAUUAUCGACGUUUAUUAUAACAAAAUACAUAAAAAUUACAAUUGGGAAUUAAAGUGGGUUUAAAAUUCAAUGGUUAUAUUUACACAAUACAACAUAAAUGUUAAAGAGAAAAAGAAUAUUACUGAAUAGUUAACUAGAAAUUCAAUUUGGUGACAAGAAAGAUGAAGUUUAGAAGUGAUCGAGGUAAAUGACACAGGAGAGGAAGGCUAUUGGGUAUGAUGAUUCAUAUUUUUAUUCUUUUCUUGCCGUCUCAUUGGUUACACUGGUUGUGUUCGGAUGCUCUAACAGUGACAUAAUUGGACCAUUUCGGUGCAUUUUAUGUGCAAUACUCAUCUAUUUAUAUUUAAGUAUGUGCAUGUACCAAUCAAUAAAUAAUUGGGUGUACUGGUAAAACAUAUUGUACUUUCAAAAGAAGGUUUCAGGUUUGAAUUUUGAAGACGAUAUUAUUAAAAGAAACAACCAUAAACUCCGAACAUAAUUCGUAAAACGAAAAUGAAAAACUCUAAAAAUAUGAAAUAAGGCUGUAAUUCCAAGGUGAACAACAAUAAAAAUCAAUGGAACGAAAAUCCAAUGCAAAGAACAGUAAAAUAGGUAAAUCUUUAUUGAUGACAAAACUUCAAUAUUAAUUAAUUAAAUUACUUUCUUGCUAAAGAUAGAAAUUGCUUAACCCAAGAAUAUAAAGACAGUUACUGGAUCAAGGACUUAAGUAAAAGGAAUACAAAAUUAGGAAUAACAAAAAGUUAAUACCUAGGCUCAAUUGGUAAGAUCUAUCCAAGUGUGAACUUAAAAUUUAUUAAAAGAUCAAAAUAUAGGUUUGAAGCAGAAGCAGUGGCAGUGGUGGCAGAGCCUGAAAUUUUUUUUAGUAUCGGAAUUAAAUUGUAUAUACUUAUAAUAGUAAAAAUAAAGUUUCAUCAUUUUAAUAGCCUAUAUCUUUAUAAUUUUUAAAGGGUUAAAUCAAAUUUUUAUCAUUUUUACCAUUUUAAGGGAGACUAUGAUCUUCUAGGUCUCCACUACGCUCCGCCAUUAAUAUAUGAAAAGUCUCAUUUGACCAUAAUUUGUUUCACAUGAAAUGAAAAGAAGAAUCCUAAUCAACCAUGGCAUUAUUGGCUUUGAUAAAUAAAGCUUUUAUCAUCUUAUUUAUUUGAAGUGCACAUCAGUUGUUCUUUUUAUGAUGAUUAUAUAUCAACAUCAACUCAAUUGAUGUUCCCACUUAUCACUUAGGGCAACAUUAAUUUAAAGGAAACCUUUCAUGUAGAAUGCACUUAUAUAGUGCACAAAUAUAUGUUCAUGUUUGUUCAUCUUUGAGUGAUUAGAUAAAUUAUUUUUGGGAGAAUUUACUUUAAAUAUAAAAGAAUGGGGAUGUAAUUAUUCGAGGGUUACGAUAGAUUAAGCUUAAAUAAUUUCUUGCGUUAUAAAUUUAAGUAUGAUGGGCUUAAUUUUCUACAUGGCCCAAUAACUCAAUUCCAAUACAAGAGAAUGACAGCCUAAUUUAAAUGUACUGGCCCAACAGUUGGUGACAAGCAAUCUUCAAGCAAAAGAAUUUGAAGGUUCAAAAAGCCAGACUUUAUGAAGCCUAAUAAUGCAAGCCCAAGAGGGUAUUUUGGAUGGAAGGUUCUAAUAAGCUUCCAAUGGUCGUAAUUACAUAAAUUUCGUAUAUCAUCAAUAAAUAAUAACAUGAUAUAUUAUCAUUAACUUAAAUAAAACAAAUUAUAAAAGACUUAUAAAUAAAUGUUAAUAAUUUUAUUUAAACAUAAUUAAACAUUAAUUGAACAACUAAAUAAAUAUUAAUGAGUCUUAAAUUUAGGAUCUUGAGUUUAAGUGUUUAAGGUUUUAACAUAAUUAAGCAUAGUAAUAUAAUGAUAAAUUUAUAUUUUAACCCAUUUAUAAAUUAAUAGUCUAGAGUAAAAAGUCGAAGUAAUAAAUGUAAAUGAGACAAUUUAGUUAAAGGUUUGAAUAUAGUCACUGAAAUUUAAAUCAAAACUCUCAUAAUAAAUCACACAAUUUAUCCAUGGUUAGCAAUAGAGGUGAGCGUUUGAUCGAAUUGAGACGAAUCGAAUCGAAUCGAGUGAAAAAAUUUCGAGUUUACGAGUACUAUUUUAUCAUUCUGACUCAAUUUGAAAUUUUUUUCGAAUCUAUUUGAAUCGUUCCUUUUCUAUUCAUAUCAGCAUUUCGUAUAGAGGUUAUUACGUCAGCAAUAGUGUCCUUACCCAUGGUAAACUAAAAUUUUUGUUGCUCCCGAAUUUUUAUAUAACUAACGUGGUCUCUUUUUUUUUUACUUAGUAAAGGUAUAUACGUGAGACACAAUCUACUAAUUAAGAGUCGAGUCUAGUCGAAUUGAGUGAAAUUGUUCGAGUUCAAUUAAAAAAUUAAACCUGUCAAAUAAAAAUAUUGUUAUAGUAUAACUACUUCCAUAUUAGAGCACAUAAAUUUGAAACCAUAUAUAUUUGAAAAUUUUGUCAAAAAAAAUAAUCAAAAAAAUAAAUACUUGAGUAUAAUAAAUUUGAAUCAUUAAUUAGGUCUCAAAAUUAUUAUUUUAGAAAAAAAUUUAAAAUUUUAUUUAUUUUUUAUAAUUUUUAUAAUUUUUUUAAAAUAUAAUUUUUUUAAUAUUUAUAAAUAUUUUGAAUUUUUUUGUAUUCUUUGUUAAGAGAGACCCAUUUGCUUAUUUUUAAAGUUGACAAGAACCAAAAUAGUAUUUACACCAAUAUAUUAUUUGAAUCAUGCAAGUUAUUCGAAUUGUGAAAUUCAACUCGACUUGAACUCGAAACUCGAAUUAAGUUAUUCGAGUUGACUCAAAUAAUUUGAAUAACUUAAUUCGAUUAACUCAAAAUUCGAUUUUUUUUUUUUGCUGAAAUUGAUCUUUCUUGUCACCAAAUUGAAUUUCUAGUUAACUAUUUCAAUAAUAUUCUUUUUUCUUUAACAUUAAUUUAGUUCAAACAGUCUGCUUUGCAAUAUAUAGUUUCAUUUUAAAAUUCCCACAUUUUGUGGUCGAUCUUAUUCAUGAUUAUUUGAAAUAUAUCAAAAGGCAAGCUAAGUCUAGUUAUGGAAAUGGAAGAUCAGGAGGUGGUCCGAGCGGGCAAUUCUUUUCGCAAUCGGCUCUCACAGUAUAACACUCUGAUUUUCUUGAUAUGCAGCACCAACAGCUGCGGAAUAUGCCAUCACCGGAAGCUGGCCCCGAUGUAGGACAAGGUCUAUGACUGCAUGGUCCUAGUGUUAUUUUGCUGCCCGGGUCAAGUUCAUUGCCAUGGAUGCUGCUGCUUCUACUACCUGCAAUUCAAAUGAAAUUUGCCAUUAAAGAAAGAAUCAUUUCAAUGUAUGAAAAGUUGAUAAAAUAUGAAAAGAUCAAACCAGAGUAAACUAAAAAUCAGUAUACGCACAUUCAUGAAAAGCUGGAAGAGAGGUGAAGAGCAGUAAAAGGAAGGCCAAACGAGUAGCCAUGAACUUGGUUGCUACCAUUGUUGAUGUGAAAUAUGAUUGAAGUUCUUUACGUGAGGUUUGAAUAUAUAUAUAUAUAUAUAGAAAAUUCUAUAAAUAGUUAAGACUAAUCAAAAGAUGUUUACAUUUAUUUGAGAGGAUUCACUGCUAAAAAUUGCAUAGGGUUGUUAUUCAAUAUUUGGCUUUUCCCGGAAAGGAAAGAAAUCCUAAAACAUUAAUUUUUUUUAAUGAUGUUUGCAUGGUAACUCGUGUGAUAGUGCACAUGUUGAUAUGACACUAUUUAUCCUAUAUGCACAUAUAUUUUUCGUAGAUUGUUAUGUGAGCUACCGUGUUAAAAAAUUUAAUAUUUUAUUCCAUAUUUUUGUUAAAAAACAUAAAUUUGGCUCUUUUUAAAAAAUUGAUAGUCAAAUUUGAUAUUUUAAAAAGAUCAAUGGCCGAUUUUAAUUAAAAAAAAUAAAUGUCAAAUUGACAAAAUAUGUAAACCUUAAGAGCUAAAUUUUGAAUUACUUUUAAUUUUAAUAUGGAACAAUUCUUUCUAAUUAUAAAUUGAACAAUGGUAGCAACCAAGUUCAUGGCUAUUCGUUUGGCCUUCCUUUUACUGCUCUUCACCUCUCUUCCAGCUUUUCAUGAACGUGCGUAUACUGAUUUUUAGUUUACUCUGGUUUGAUCUUCUCAUAUUUUAUCAACUUUUCGUACAUUGAAAUGAUUCUUUCUUUAAUGGCAAAUUUCAUUUGAAUUGCAGGUAGUAGAAGCAGCAGCAUCCAUGGCAAUGAACUUGACCCAGGCAGCAAAAUAACACUAGGACCAUGCAUUCAUAGACCUUGUCCUACAUCGGGGCCAGCUUCCGGCAAUGGCAUAUUCCGCAGCUGUUGGUGCUGUAUAUCAAGAAAAUCAGAGUGUUAUACUGUGAGGGCAGAUUGCGAAAAGAAUUGCCCCCUCGGACCACCUCCUGAUCUUCCAUUUCCAUUACUAGACUUAGCUUUUGAUAUAUUUCAAAUAAUCAUGAAUAAGAUCGACCACAAAAUGUGGAAAUUUUAAAAUGAAACUAUAUAUUGCAGAGCAGACUGUUUUAUACUUGUUAGCUACCUCUUUCUGAUAUUUGAAACUCAAUAACAAAAAGUUUACAGCAAAAUUUAGAAGAAAAAAAAACAUGGCACAAAGGCCUAUUCCAAAGAAAGUUCCAAAGUUUAGAGAGAAUGAGAUUUACACCUUUUGACUCUAAUAUGAAGAUCUAUACAAACAGUCGGGGAUGGAGUCAUUGUGGUAGUAUACAUGUACUAAGAUACUAAUCAGGUUAAAAUUGAAGUUGGUUAGAAAUGAAUGCAAGAACAUGCAUGUUUUUUCUAUUGGAGAGGUCAAGAAUCCUCAGAAAUCCAAGCAAACCAUUCAGUGAUUAAACCCAAAUGCACCAGCAGGACGGGGAAAAUUGCUGGCGAUGUCCAACCAGCAUAUAAUUCAAGGUUUUGCUUUUGGAUGAUGUAGGAGGUGUUGCUAUGAGUCCGAGAUCGGUUUCGUUUUGAAGAACUUUGCUACAGCUAGGUAAAGAUUUUCCUCCUCAAAGGGCUUUGAGACGUAUCCGUCCAUCCCACAUUUCAGGCACUCAUCAUAGGUGGCGUGAAUUACAUCAGCUGUCAUGGCUAAUAUCGGGAUAUGCCACUCACCAGUCCUGAUAGACCCUUCUUCUGUCCCUCCGUUCAUCUGUUCAUUUGCCUGACUCUCCAUCAUGCGAAUUCGACGAGUUGCCUCAAACCUGAAAUAAUAGUCCAUGAUAUUAAAAUUCACACCCUAUCUUUACAAAAUGAUUAAAAUUCAUAUAUAUUUGUAUAAGAUUUAAAGGAGGAUUAUCUGACAAAAUGAAUAAUCACAAGCUAACCAUGGGCAACAUUUAAAUAAUGCACUACAACAAAAUAAUGAUUAUCAAGUUCUCACUCAAAUGAGAAAUUUGGUAUCUAGUGGAGACAACCAUAAGGCUAAUCAAAGGAAUUUGGUCCACAAAUGAAGUGUAACUGUGAAGAAAUAAUGUGCCAACAGCCAUGUGAUGUUUAGACCGGACCGGACCAUAGAUAUGUCUAAAAACAACAUACAGACUUUGCUUUCUUUUUCCUGUAUUUGGUGCUUAGAUUGUCAACUGCCCAAUGUUAAAGAUAUGGUAUACAUACCCGUCCAUUUCGGGCAUCUGAAUAUCCAUGAAGCAAGCGUCAAAACUGUGUGGAAGUUGAAGCAAUUUAAGUGCAGCUUUUCCACUUUCAGCACAUUCUACGGCAGCUCCAAACUUUUUCAAUGCGCCAGCAGCAACUCUCCGGUUUACCAUAUUGUCAUCAACUACUAAUAUUUUCUUUCCACAAAGAAGACUCCCAAGGACAGACGAUCCAUUCAGCAUGCCUCUUCCAGGCUGCCUCUUCUUCCCUGUCCCAAGCACCUGCUGAAGACAUGCAGCCACCAUACUUGCCCUCAAAGGUUUCAUAAUAGUAGUAUCUGCAAAACCUGCUGCCCUUGCUUUCUCAAGUUCAGCAUUAGUAAUAUUUGUCGCAAGAAGAAUCAUCUUUGGUGACUUAAACACGUGUCCGUUUUGCUGCCUGUCCAACGUUCGUAAGCUCAAACCACCAUCCUCACCAGAAAGCCAUGAAUCCUUCUCAACAAGAACUAUAUCCGGUUGAGUUUUACUUCUGCGACGUUCAAAGAUAUAAUUCAACAAAGUUAACAUCAUAAGAUGAAUAGAAAGCACAAAUGGUCUUUUUUUCCCAGUGAUCAUAACAAAGGCAUCAGAAAAGGUACUGAAGAAACUACAAAUUGUGUUAAAAAUGAGUAAUUGUUGACAAGAUCUUGUCAAAUGUGAUUAAAUCAUCAACCAAACAUAGGGCAAAUUCCCCAAAUGCAAACUAUAGUUUUACUGAAUUUACAAUCUCUCAAAUAUGAUAAUUCUAAACUAAAACGUACCCGCAUGAAGAACCAUUUUUACCACAAGCAGAAGCAGCUAUUUUGACACUAUUCGCAAAUUCAACCAGCAUGCCAAGCCUCUUCAAGUGGUACCGAGUUACAGCAGCUCUAACUGGUUUUCCGUCAACUACCACAGCUUUCAAUCCUCUGAAACCAGAUGGAAGAUCUUCGGCAUUGGGUUUUUUUGUAUCACUAAAUGAAGCUCUUUUACACCUCCCAAAGACUGUGGUGAAUGAGAAUGUGCUUCCAACUUGUGGUCUGCUGAUGAAGCUUAUGUGACCACCCAUUAGCUCAACCAAACACUUAGUAAUGCUCAGGCCUAUGCCAGUCCCACCAUAAUUUCUAGAGGUUGAGCUAUCCGCCUGCAUAAAGGGCAUGAAAACCCUGUCCUGGGCAAUCAAAGGGAUCCCAAUGCCAGUAUCUUCCACAGAUACCAUCAAAGUGACACUCUGAGAAGCUUCAUCAGCAGCUUUCAUUUUUACUGAGGCAUCAUAUCGCAAUUCUUCAUCGGCAACUAAAUGCUUGAAGGAAUCCCAACUGUUCCGCUCAUCAGCAGCUUCAUAACCACUCAAGGUUUUAAACUGGCGAGCACCUGAUACCAAUGCAUCUUCAUCUGACCCUCCAUUCAAACAAGUUUCAGCUUUAGGAUCUUCCAUAGGCUUCGGGUUUUCAGCUAGAUGGACUUUAACAAAUAUGUGCCCCCGUUCUGUAAACUGUCAAACACUCAUUUUUAAGUCAUUAUCAAUUUAUUAAAUGAAAUUUUAUAUACAAUAAUCAGUCAAAUAGCAGAAACUAAACUCAAUAAUGCAAUCUACUAAUAAGAUCAAAACUUCCAUCAAUUAAGUAGAUAGCAAUCUACCUACAAAAUUGGCAAAAGGAGAGAAGGUUGAGCACCCACUUACUUUAACAGAGUUCCCAACAAGAUUCGUAAUUAUCUGUCUAAAUCUCCCUGGAUCCCCCAUAACCAUUUCAGGAACUUUAUCAGAAACAAACACUGCCAGCUUCAGUUCCCAAACAAUUACAACGAGUUUGAGUCAUUGUAAUGUAUCACAAGUAACACCAUUUAUUGACAUCAACAACGCCACCAAGACAUGGAAAGGAAAAGGGAAAAGAGAAGGCAAAUUAGUUCAAGCAUUAUAGGAACUGUCUAAAAUGAAGAAGCAUAUUGAACAAUGCACUGUGUUUUCUAUUAAUUUUAUCCAGACUUACCUCAACACCUUUGUUUCUAGACUUCUCAGAAAAUAAAGAGAGCACAUCAUCUAGGAUAGACCGAAGGUCAAAGGGGACAGUUUCCAGCUCCAACUUUCCAGCUUCAAUUUUAGCACGGUCAAGCACCUCAUUUAUCAAUGUUAUCAGUGCCUUUCCACAGACUUGAGCAGUUUGAGCAUAAUCCCUUUGUGUUGAACUUAAAUCAGUAUCUAAAAGCAAAGCAAGCAUCCCUGCAACCAUUCAAGAUUUCAUCAGAACAUUGCUGAUUAAAAUUAUUUGAUGUCCUUGAAUGUAUAUUUCACAUAGAAAACCUUAAGGAGCAAUCUGGAACAUACCAAGGAUGCCAUUCAUGGGAGUCCUGAUUUCAUGAGAAACUGUUGCCAAAAACUGCAACAAGAACGCAUCAUAAUUAGUUUUAGCUUGGAAGUGGGUGGUCAACCAUGUGUUGAUAGAUAUAUCUUGAAAUACAUACCUGUGAUUUGGCCACAUCAGCAGCUUCUGCUCGAACCUUAAGCUCUUCCAUUUCAUGGAAAUCAUCUUCAACUUUAACAAUGUGUAUUGCUGCACCAUAUAAGAUAUAGCCAACCAAUAAGCAGAUCACGAAGAAUAAGAAGGCCGUGGUCAGCGCAGUCCAUGAUGUGGGUGCCUUCUGAUGAUAUCUGCUCAGAAGGCCAAAUAGUAAGUGCUUGCAAAAAUAAAUGCAGUCAUUCCAUCAACCUUGUGAAUAUGUAGCCAGUUAUACACUUACCUACAUAUCAUCUGAUGCUUCCUGAAUGGAUCUCCAAAAUCAAGCUUGCUUUCAUGCAAUAAAGCCAGGUCACCAUCUUGAUUUUGGUGACCAUACAUGAUCAAGUGAUCAGAAGAAUUAGUAAUAUCAUAUACAUUCACUAGGAUUGCCUGAUUUCCAGCAAGUUGCCCAAGUAAAUUCUCCACAAGUGACUCCACAUCAAAUGCACCACCAAGGUAUCUGUGUUUAUUUAAAAGUUUUUUUAUGCAUAAGAAAAUCUAAGAUGCAAAAAUAAAGAAGUGUAGUAACUGAAGCAAUCCCCCCCCCUUGGGAUGUAUUUCUAUCCAUUGUAAUAACUGGAAGUCUAGUUAGCCAGAAAAAUAGUAGCACAAAGAAAAUGUUAUGAAUGUCAAACUCAAAUUUACGGAGAAACUAGAAAUGUCCAGUGCCAGGAACAAGUGAUGUAAAGAUGGUAAAGGUGCUUAUGUGGCACCAACAGAAGUACUGGCAACUGUAUCUGGUCAAGGAGCACCAAAUUGCUGGUGUUGAUCACAAUGAAACAAUAAAUGUCAGUGGAAGCAAAAAUGCUGAUAUCAGCAGCAUAACCAUGAUUAGGUCAUAAAGUAGCAAAUACCCUAGAAAUAUAUUGAGGUGGUCGUAUGAGUCACUUUGGACCAUCUGGUGUCAAUGGUCUUGCUCUCCAGACUCUCAAUAGGAAAAAGGAGAUGAAAGUUUCUGAUUGUCCACUAAAUGAAGAAUAGAAUCUUUUCGGCUAACUUAUAUACGAUCAAAUAAACUUCAACAGAAAUCACAUAAAAGUCUAAACCUUUUUCCCCUUGACAUGUGCACUCUAAUACAACUGCAGUUGCUAUAGACUGCAAACUCUCAUCAUCAACACUUUCAAACUAUCUAGUGCCAAAUACAUUCGCUAACUUUCAAAAGCAAAAGCUUAAAAGAAAAGACCAAGCACAAAAAGGGUUUCAAACAAAAAAAAAAAAACUUGGAUUUCCAAUUAGAAAGACAAGCUGGAGUACUUACCCAGCAGUUGCUUCAAUGCGCUCUUGCUCAGUAGGACUCGGUGGGAGCUUGGAUUUGUAAACAGGGAAUGUCAACACAACACCAAGAUGAUGAGAGCCCAGUAACCUGAAGGGGCUAGUUAGGACAGCUUUCCCAGUAGCCCUAGCCCUUAAUAUGUUUUCUCGAUCCUCCUGCACAUUGGAACAUGGAUAUUACCACUCCAAUCUAAUCCUGAACCAAAUAUCAGACCAAAGGUAAAGAUAAAACUUAUAAGCAGAUUGUAGGUAACAGCAUACCUCCCCCGACAUCAUGUCAAGCGAUUCGAUGUAAGAAACAGUUUCUUGAGAGAAAAUCACAGGGGCAUAUUCAUCUCGAAUAGGAGAAGGUUCCCUCUUCAUUGUCUUUAUUGUCCACCCAUGCUGCCUCUCAAAAUUCUCCCUCUCAGAAUGAACUACUCUUUCCGCAUAGGCCACCCCACUAAGCAAUGGCCUCUCAAAAGCAGUUCUAGCAGUGUACUCCGCAAAAGUCUCCUGCAUUUCUUGCAAAGAACAAAAAUAGCCCAAAGUGCACAAUCAGAAACUCACACAAAAGAUGAACAAGAAAAAUAUUUCACCAUUGGAUGUCAACAUCAACCAAACUCAGAUUUUCAGAGGCCAUAUGUCUAACGAAAAAACAACAAAUGUAAAACUUUAAAUUAAAUAGAAAUUUCAAAAUAUCAGGACCCCAUAAAUUCCACAGAAAAGAAGGAAAACAAGAUCAAACUUCAGGAACAACCUGAUCAAUAGCAGAUGGAUCCUUGUAGUAAUGAAAAGUGGAGACAAGAAUGGCCAGGGCAUGAACAUGGUUAACACUAACACUGAAUUGAUCCUGCAACAUCCUUGCCCUUUGAUCACACAUGCUACUCAACACCUCCUUCCUCCUUACUUUGUUGUCAGCAUCCAUCUUUUUGUAGAUCCAAGUGCUGAGAAAAGCCAUCACCAUUACCCAAAGCAACAAAAAUUUUGGUAACCAAGCCCUGUUAGCUUGAAUAAAUGUGUACCCUCUUUUGGUCCCCAUUUGUUCAUUCACUUUCACAGUCACUGAGUGGUGGUAGCUCUGUUGCAACUUAAGACCCAUCAGCAAAAGAACAAGAUCGGCUCAACUUGUUUCUCCAUGUCUUCUUACUUUUCUUCUUUCUUUGAUACUACCCCCUUCAUAUCUGAGCAAGAAAAAAUCCCCCAAGAAAACAUGCAUACACCAUAACUAAGGUAACUUUCUUGUAAGUACAGGCCAUUUCAACAAAUACCCUUUUUUCCUGCACUGGAACAUGAUGAGCUAAAACUUCAAGUUUUAUGUAUCAUCAUAGCAUUGUUUUGCGUGAUAAAGAACCAAAAAGUUGGAAAAAUAAUUACAAGCUAGCACGAAGAAAUGGACCAAAGAAAUAAAUUUUUCACAUCACAAGAAGAAGAGAAGAAAAGGAGAAGGGAGACUCAGAACUCAAGAAAGAGAAAAACUUUUCAACUCUCAAGAGACAAGCAUGGCUCUCAAAAGAUGUAAAACAGCUCAAAUUCCCAAGAUAUCUCACUAUCUCCCUCUACAAAAAAUUGGCUUCUUUUCUCUGUUUUAUCUCUUGCCAUAUAAAAAAAUUGGAAAUUUCACGGAGGAAAAAUACACUAAUCAUUUUCUUUUCAAAGCGUGAGAGUGUUGUUUUAGUUUAAGACUGAAAGACAAAGAAGAGCACGUUCACUGUAUUUCCCCCUAUAUUAAAAUCACAUUUUGCAGAUUGACCAGCAAACACUCACUCGCUCUCACAGCAAAGCACAACAAGGCGAAGACCAAAUACAUUAAAACCCAAAAAAUAAAGAACAAAAAAAGUAAGAUCUUUGGAGUGAGAAAUGGGGUUAUUUGAAAGAUAACAAUAUUUACCUACACACCUAGUACAUAAAUCAUUUUUUUUCUUUAAAAAAAUACAGAACCAAUGUUAUUCUUUGGUUCUCCUUUGUUCUAUGCUUUUCUUUUAAUUUAUUAUUGUUGUAAUGGUAAUGAAAUUUUUCAAAGUUUUCAACUUUCUUCUUUUCUUUUUAAAGUGAAGUGAAUCGAAGUUCUAGGAUUUUUGCACAUAUGCUGCUGUCUCCCUCUACACUAAACCCACAUUAGCUACAACACUUACUAUUUAAAGCGAGUUCAAAAAUUAAUCUUUCACAUUCAGAUAAAUUAAAAGUUCAAUAAUUAAUUUUCCGUAUUUAAUAGAUUCAUUAAAUGAUAGAUAUAGGUCACGAGUGUUAAAACUAUUUCAUACUUAAAGUAAGGAUCAAACCACUAUUCACUGAUUAAGAUAAAAAAAAUUAUUAUCAUCUCACCCUAACUCUCGUGAUUUAAACAAACUUUUAUAACGCUAAUAAAAUAAUCUUCCUCAUCCUAAACUUUAUAUUAAAAAAAAUUGGUGAAAUGGGAUUUACUUUAUAGGGAAGUCCAAAGGGUUUCAUUCAACUUGCGAUAUGAUUUUGUUUUUGAUUCCUUCUUAUGGGUUUACUUUUCUCCUUUAACGUAUGCGAAAGAAGGAAAAUAGGAUUAGAGAAAAUAAAGAAAAAUAAUAACUUAAUAACUUAAAAAAUACUAAAAAUAAUAUUAUAAUAAUUAAUAUAUUAAAAUUUAUUAUAAAUAUAUAAUAUUUUAAAUUAUUACAUUACAAAAAAAAUAAAAGUACAUUAACUAUAUAUUUAGAAUUAAAUAUAAAAAAUAUAAAUAAGUGUAGUAAAAUAAAAAUAAAAAGAAUAUGAGGGAGAGGGUCCAAAAAUCACAAUCACAUAUCUUAGAGAUAAUGACAUGGCGACAAGCCAAAGGAUCUCCCUUUUCUUUUUCUUUUUUCUUUUUUCUUUUUUCAUUCACGUCCAAAUAAAAAUACAUUAAAUAUCUUAAAAUUUUAUAAUAUCUGAAUUUAAAUUAGCAUAUUUUUCACAUUAAACCUUUUUAUUAUUGCCUAAAUCCAAUUUAAAUAAUAUUAAUCACUUAAUUUAAUAUCCAUUACCAUCCAAUUUCCCCUCCUCCUUUAUCAACUUUGCUCAAAAAAACUACUUGAAAAUAAAAGAAUAUAUCAAUUAAGUCUUAGUUCGAUUGUCAUAGGCAUUAUUGUCAAUGCAGAAGGAUACGAGUUUGACUGCGUUCAAACAUAUUAUCCUCCUAUUUAUGGGUUGGGAAGGUAUUAUGGGUAGUUCUAGGUAUUGUGUCAAAAAGAGUAGAUAUGAUUAGAACCUAUAAUUAGAUUGUUUAAAAAAAUGGAAAUGAAAGAAUACUAAAAAUGUUAAAUUAUAUUUUAAAACUUGUUAUUUGAUCAUCGUGGCUAAAGCAUAGUUAAAUUAUUUUAAAACUUUAAUUUAGUUAUUUUUAGUCCUUAUAUUUUUAAUUUUUUAAAAUUUUAGUUUUCACCAAAUGGUGGAGACUAAAUUGAUUAAGUUAAGUUCUGCUAUUUUUAAAAUCUGAAGCGGCAAACAUAUUAUCGCACAUGUAAUAUCAAGUCAGCUUUUUAUUUUCACAUAUUACUCUCAAAAAAAUCAGUUAAUAGAUUUAAGUAUUGUCAUUUGUAUUAAGAUUAAAAUUUCAAAAAUUGAAAAAGUAUACAACUAAAAAUGAUCCAGCUGGAGAAUAUAGACUAAAUCUACAACUUUGUGCAUGAUAUAAGACUAACAGCAAAAUUAAACCAAAUAAAUUUAACUACCAUCAUUGGGUCAGGACUAAAAUUUCAAAAUUCGAAAAGUACAAGGACAAAAAUUGACCAGUUCAAAAAAUAUAAAGAUUAAAAUUGAUCAAAUUAAAGUACAGGUACUAAACCCACCACUUAAGCAAAGUUAAGGAUCUAAUAACAAAUUUUGACCUAUUUUUAAUUUUUUACUUAUACCAAAUAAUAACUCUCAAAAUGCAACAUCACGGUUAAAUUUAUCUUUACUCAUUUAAAACGAUAAUUAACACUUUUAUUAAACACUCAUUUGAUACGAGUUCAAACCGUUUGAUCUUAACCUCAUCCUAAUAUAAAAUAAAAUAAAAAUAUCACAGAUACAUUUAACAAGAUAAAAUAAUACAAAAUUCACACAUGUUUGUUUUAAAAUUUGAUAUUUAAAAUUUUAUUAUUUGAAAUACUACUCUAUUUUUGAUAGCUGUACCUAAAACCCCAUUUUCCAAAGAAUCAAAUAUACAUGCUAAGCUGGCUUUGAUUUCACAUGUAUUAAACAAGAUUUGAUUUUAAUCAUGACCAUAGUUAGGACAAAUUUCUUAAUUAUAUGUUAUGUUGAUGCUUGCCACAUAGCAUGUUUGCUCUAUGUGCUUUUCCUUUUUUUUCUGUUCAUAUAAUUUCUGGUUGGAUAAAGUAGAAAAGAAGAAAAUAUUCUGGUGAAGAGGAAGAUAAAAAGUAUCAUUCCUAAAGAGCCAACCUCUUUAUUGGGCUUUUAAAAAUGUAUAUAAGGUGACUUCUUUCGAAUCGAAUUUUGGGUUAGAUCCCGGAUCGAGUUAAAAUAUAUAGUUUAUAACACUUUCUUUCUUUAUUAUUAUUAAUUAAAAAAGUUUUAGUUUUGAAAAGUAUUCAAAGUUGUCCUUUGGAUGUGCUAAAAUUUCCCAAUGAGGAACCAUCACAAGACAUGGAAUUAGGAUGGUUAUUGACCAAAUUUAGUUUCAUGUGAAUUUUUUAGUUAUUGCUUUUUAAUUUUAAAAUAAAGGUAUACCGAUGUUGUAAAAUGCAAAAAGAUUCAAACUCAUCGUAUUCAAUCGGUUUAAUUGCGUAACAAAAUUAAAAAAAAUAUUUUUUUAUAAAAUUUAUAAAAAAAAAUUAAAAAAGGAAAGUUACACAAGUAAACACAAUUCAUGUUAAAAAUUCUAACAACAAAAUUAAAAUUUUAAAUUAGCUUCAAUCCAAUUUAGACGAAUUUUUAAUUAAUUUAAUUUUUUUAUUUAAUUAUUUUUUGAUUUUAUAAUAUCAAUUAGACCAUCAAUUUUUUAUCCAGUUGAUCCGAUGCGAUAUUUUAUUAAAUACCAAAACUCAAUGAACCGCAUCAUGUCACUGAAGAAGAUGGCAAUAAAAGAUAGUGGAAUAGGGAAGAUUGUUAAUUUAAAUGAAGUACAAGAAGUUUAGUUUUCCGUAGUCAAAUCUUAAUUAAGCACAUUUAUGAAAGUAUUGCUUGAUAUGGAUAAGAUUGGCUUAGCUAUGGUCAAAUAACCCAUAGUUUGCCAUCUACCUCCUUUAACUAUAUCUUAAUUUAAUAACACACUUUGUACGGAAUUUGGAGAUGCAUCAAACAAUUGUAAAGUCACAAGUCUCGUGUUCGCAUACUUAACCAUACAUACUCGUACUUUCCAACUACACCUUAACCAUUUGGAAAUUUGAUUAUUUUUUGUUUUAAUUAUCAAAUGAUUAAAUAAUCCUAUGUUACAAAAAUUUGACUGGGCAGUGAAAGGUGUGGGUGAGUAGCAUGUGGGGGUGGGUGGGUAGUGAAUAGAGAAUCCCCACAAAAACCCGUAACUUUCCAUGAGAGAGAGAGAGAAAAGAGGUAUAUAUUUGGUUGAAUAAAUGAAUGAAAAUGAUGAUAAUACUCACAUGGGGCAGGUGGUUGCUUCCUCCAACAGCAUCCCUGGGGUCUGUACAUCACCUCUGCCUAAUUGGUUGAAUUAGGAUUUUGCAAUGCAAUUGGCCUUCCCCUGCCCCUGCCCUACCCUGCUCUGCUCUGCACCCUACCUAUUCAUCUUAUGCUCUCUGAUGUGGUCCCAAUAUCUCCUUUUCUUUGCCUUUCAUCCAACCAAGUGAUGCUCUCCCCUCAUGUGGAAAUAUAUUUCCCCCACUCCCAUCCUUCCUUCCUUCCUUCAUUAAUUAUCUUUUCACUCCCAUUUUUACCUUACUCUAAUUAAUAUUCCAUGAUUUUGUCUUCACAAAUAAUUUCAUGAGUUGGAUUAAAUUCGAAUAGAGCAAUUAUACAUCAUUAUUAUAAUUUAAGUUACGAUUGUAUUAUUAAACAUAAUUUAUAAAAAAUAGAUUGAUUUUCUGAAAGAAUUAAUAUUUUCUGAUGUUUAGAUGUUUUUAUAUAAAAUAUUUCUCGUUAUUUGGUAAUUUAAACACAAACAUAAAAUAUGUAUAACUGGUGAGUUGAUUUCACAAAAAAAAUUGAAAAUAAAAUUGUUUUAUAAGAUAAAUUAUUUUAUAUAAAAAUGAAUUAAUAUUUUUUCAUUACUAAAACCCAAAACUUCUUAUUAAUUCAUUUCUAGAAAAUUAGGAUUGUGACUAAUCCCUAAAAAAAUUAAAAUUGUGGGUUUUUUUUUUGUAAUAGAAUAAGAUUUUUUAUGUAAAUUUUAGUUUUCUAUUUAUUGAAUAAGUUUAGGAUAUUGAUUUUGUACGUUAUUCCUAACAUCUUGAGUGGGUCAUAGUUUUUAGAGGUUUAUUAAUACAAAUCAUUGAAAAAUUAGGACCAAUUGUAGUUAUAGUCUUGAAUUUCUUAAUGUUGAUUAAAAAUUUAACAUUUUUAUUCAGAAAUAGUUGUUGUCAAUGUGAUUAUUGUGAAUCCUAUAUUCGAAAAUUUGACAUAUUGUAUUCUCAUUACACCAUGAUUUUUAUUUUUGAAAUAAUAUUACUUGUAUACUAGCUUCGUGAAAACCCUUGUGUUUAAAGCCUAGAUUUGUUUGUUCUAAGUUUUUUAUUUUCGUUGGUUGCAAGUGUGAAAAUAAUAUUUUUUAGCAACUGAAAUUGUGGAAAAUUGUUUGUGGGAUCAAAUUGGAGAUCAAUGGAUGAGUAAUUGUUUAAUUACAUAUGUUGAGAAAGAUAUUUUUAACAACAUCGACGAGGAAAAGAUAAUUCAAUGAUUUUAACAUAUGAGAAAAUUGUUUGAGGGAUCAAAUUGAAGAUCAAUAUAUGAGUGUUUGCUUUUAGUGUAGUGUUUUUAGUCAUACCACACAGUAUCUAAUUUCACCACUAUACCAUAUGUAAACGUACCAGUCAUCCAAAACGAGUGUUAGGCACACAAUUAAGAAAGAAAAGGGAAGAAAAUCCCACCGUCCUAGUGUUGGAAUAGCUUGAAAAUCAUGUGUUCAAAACUCCCACAAUAUAUAUGGGGAUUGGUUUGGCAUUGGGCGUCUGAACACGACAUAGUUGUGUGCUAUUCUAGUCUUGAUAAUCUCGAAAAUCUCAAAAAGCAAUCUUAAUCAAAUCUUGGGUGUAAUCUCCUCUACUAUCUAACAUAUCUAUAAUGUUUGAUGUAAUGGUCAACUUUUCCAUACCCAAUGCGUAUUUAAGUUUCCCAAAGUCUUUAAAUUUUCAUUACAACGCUACCAAAAGGAAUCAUGUCUAUGUCAUACCCACACCCUCUUCCAUUUCUAUUCUUAAUUCAAUGCUACAACUUUUCCCCUCAUCCACUUGUAUUCCAUAUUUAUCAUUGCUUCUUUUUCCUUUUUGAAAACAUAAUUUCAUCAACGUUUGGUAGUAAUUAAAUUAAAGACUCAUUUAACUCGUCUUCGAUAUAUAAAAAUGUGUGAACUUUUUGGAUUAUAAUGAAAUGACUAAACCUCAUAGGAAAAAUCUCAAACAUUUGAAUGACUCAAUAUCCUAUUCUUAAUAAAAAUUGGUGAAUUUUUCUAACUAAAAUUGAAUCCGAAUCAUUACAAGUCUAGUCUUGAAUUACUAGGACUGCCUCCAUACUAUCAGUCUGAAUUAUCACAUUAUUAUAACUCCGCUCCAAAAGAAGUGAUAAUCCAUCUAUGAUGCCCCACAACUCAGUCUCAAUAACAAAACAAAAUCCCAAAUACAAAUUAUAACUUAGGAUCUAUUUUUCAUUUCGGUCCCGCAAAACUCCCCCAACUUAUUGAGAAAGCCCAAAUAGAACAAAUUAAAGAUAUGAUGACCAUUUUGUAAUCAAUCCAUUCCUUAGAUUAUCAUUAUGCUUUUUCACUCUUUCCUCCAAGGGCUACAACAAUGGAAGGACCUUUUUUCCCGACUUCUUUGACUCUAAAAUCAUUUUUUUUCACCUUUUAGCCGCUACCAAAAUCUCAAUAACCAACCAAGUGAGCCUUGACUUUAAACAAAUUAAUAAUUUUUUUAUUUAGUCCUUUAAAAUAGUAAAAUAAUAAAAUUAUAUUUUUAACACUCGUAAAACAUACAAUUUAACUAUAUCCUCGUAUCAAAUAUACAUGUGGGUCUAGUGUGAAAAGCAAGUUGGGAAGAUGGAAUAAAUAAUGUUGUGGCAAAAGGGAAUGGGUCCAAGCCCAAAAAUGACAAGGUUUUUUAACCUCAUAUAAUUGCACCUUUCAACUUUUUAAUUUCACUCAUUGGAAACCCUUUUCUCUGUUCUUAUGAACUUUAUUCUUUAAAUCACAAGCAUCCAUUUCUUUAAUCUUGCAAGUUGAAAACUUAAUCAUGAAUGGUGAGACUUAUAAUUGAAUUUUGCAAUGGACUUUUACCACUUACCAAGAUUCCCUAUAUCUUCCUAAUCAUUGCCCAUACUUGGGUUCAUGAAUUUUCUACUGAUUUUUUUCUUCUUCUUGAGACAUGGAAGAAGACUUUGUUAAGACUAACAUAGAAAUGUGGGGUUAGGGUUUGUAAGUGAGUAGGUAAAACAAAAGCAUCUGUGGUUGGAGCUGAGGCAUACAGUUCCCAAAUUGUUGAAGGUGACACAACAGUUGGGACAACCCAGAAAUAUUAUGUUACCAGCCUACCAGUUUGGUAGAAACCAUGAUAACAUAUUUGAACCCAUAGAUCAAAUCAUUUAUACUUUGUACUUUAGCAGAAUAAGUUUUGUGAGUUCCAUUAAUACAAAAAAAGAACAGAUUGACAGGACAGAGAAGAUAUAUGUUCCAUUUGGACAUUAUCUUAGAUCAAUGUACCAAAUUGAAAUAGAUGAGAUAGAACCCAAGCAAUGCAACUGGAUCCAUGGACCAGAUAAUGGGCUAAAUCCUAAACCAUUGAUAGAGCCACUCUUCUGUUCUAUUCUAAAGGGAUUUCCUUGAAGAAAAGCUGAAAUAUCCUGCUGACGAUGGACCAAAGAUAAGACCGGAAUUCCUUUUUUAUCUCCUUUCUGUUUUCUUUUAUAUAGAAUUUAAUUUAUUAAUAAUUUUAGGAUAAAUAUGAAAAUUACAAAUAAAUUUUGGUUAAAUUUACAAUUUUUGUGUUUUUAUAUACAUCAAAUUUUAAUUUAUUUUAAUCUAAUCUAAUUUUUACGUAUCACUAAUACUAUUAUCUAUGUAACGCUCUUUUCCAUUUAGUGACGUGAAAAAUGAUAAUUUAGUAUUUUUAAUAAAUUAAAAGAUAAAUUAAUAAAAUUGUUUCACAUAAACACAGACUAACAAUGUUAGUGUAGUUGAAAUUGUAAAGUUGAGAUGUUAAAAGAUCAUAAUGUUUCGGGUUUGAAUUCCAUCCUGUGUAAAUAUUUUUCUAGAUUUUUAUGAAAAGACAAAACUGACAUUUAAAUAAUAUCUAUUGCUUUGUAAAAAUAAGGGACUUUUCGUAACUUUACGAUUAAGUUGGAAUCCAAUUGGUGACUGAUACAAACUCGAUUAAAAUAUUAAAUACGAUACUAGAUUAUGACACACCCAUCCAUGUGGGUGAAAAACACAACCAUGUAACAAAUAUAUUUUUACAAAAUUAAUAUAAAUAACAAAUGAAAAUUUGGUUUGAUGGAAAAGUAUAAAUGUUGAAAAUAUAGAGUUUUGGGUUCCAACUUUAUUAAGUGUAUAGGUUUUGCUAUUUUUUUAAGGUAAAAGAUAUAAAAUGAUAAAAACACGUGUUACAAGGGAGGGACCCACAAAGUAAUUUUACACUCUUAAUAUAUUUUUAUACCAUUAAUAUUUUGACAAUCCAACCGUCAUAUUUUAUAUUUCAUUCAUAUGAAUCAUGUAUGUCAAAUUUGAGUAAAUUAAAAUUUUCUUACUAGUUUUAUGUAAGCCACUUUCAAUCGUUUAAUAUGUAUAUAUAUAUAGUAUUUUAGAUCUCUAUGAUAAAGAUGUUAGUUCGGUUCGAAAUUUACAUGCAUGAUAUGUAUAAUUAUAUUGAUAAAUUCAAUGUUUGAAUCGUUAAAAUAUUAAUUGUAUAAAAAUGUACAAAAUUACACCAUUGUGUAAGUGGAUCCCUCCCCAUAUCUAUAUAUCCAUGCCAUAUAUUUAGGGGCUAACUAAGUUGGUGUCACCCCUCAAUUAGUCCGCAACUUAGUUAAGAAAUUACCAAAAAUUUAUUUAUUUUACAAAGUAGCAAUUACUAUUUUGAGGGUGUUUAUGUCUUCUUAUAUUUUGAUAAAUAUAUAGUAUACAUUAAGAGAUUGGCUGAUUGGUGUCACUCUUUAAUUUGAUCUCAACUCAGUUAGGAAAUUUCCAAAAUUUCAUUUAUUUUAUAAAGUAAUAAAUUUUAUUUUAAGGCAAUUUCUAUCUUUUUAUAUUUUUAAAAAAUAUUUUUUAUAAGAAUUUUUUUUAUAAAUUUGUUACAUAAAUAUUUUCACCCACACCAUUGGUGUGACAAAAUCUAGUUAUAUUUAAGCCUUUGAUUGAGUUAGUGUCAUGAGUCAAUUGAACACCAACCCAAUAGAAAAAUGAUUAAUUUUUUUACAUAGUAACAAAAUAUUUCUAUAAUGAUGUUUUUUUAUUUUAUAUUUUUAUAUAAAAUCUAUAAAAAUAAAUUUAAAUCGAAAAUAAAAUUUAAAAAAUAUUUACAUACGAUCAAACUUAAAUUUACUAGGAUUUUCAAAUCCUCAACUUUACGAUUUCAACCAAAUCUCGUUUAUUUUUUACAUAUUCUUUUAUCCAUGAGCCAUAUCUUUUAAAUUAUUAGUUUUAGUUUAAUAGUGUAAAAUAUCUUAUAAUUUAUUUACUAACACAAUUUUAGUAUGUAUAAUAUAUGUUGAGGCUGAAUGAGCUGAGUAGCACUCAACAGUGUCCACUACAAACUGCCACUAAGGCAGUGAAAUUAUUUGUUGUAUUUGAGUUGACAAUUAAAUAAAGAAAAUAUUUAGAUUAGUUAAUGUGUUGUUAUUUUGAAGAUACCAUGGUCAAUGUAUGAAAACCAAUAAUUGGCUAUUGAAGAUUGGGAUUGGAUUCGAGUGGAUCAAUUCAAUCCUUGAAAUGUGAAGAUUCAAUCGAGAUUGUGUUGUUGAUUUCUGGAAUUCAUAUCUUCGAUUGAUUAUGCUUUGCAUGCUUAUGUUGUAAUAGCUAUUUUCAAGGAAUUACUUCAUAUUUACUUAGAUUCUAUGUUAGCAAACCCAAAUUUGAUAUAUGCUUUGAGAUUUGUCUAAGUUAUGUAAUGAGAGUUUAUUAAAAGCACUUGUAUCUGUUCAUUGAGGAACUGUUUUAUUAGUAAGUGCAAGAAUUGUAAACAUCGAGUGUUUAUUGACCAAGUUCUUAGGGAGAUGAUUUGGAGGAGAAUGUUCUAAUCUUUAGAUAAAAAUGUGAGAUCUCUAUACUUGGAGAGUGAUAGAGUGCGCAUCACUUGUUAUAUUUGUAAUUAAAGAUAGUGGAAUUACUCACUGAGCUAAGCUCCAUAAACGUAGAGAAACCGAAUUGCAUAAACAAACUUUUGAUAUUCUUUAUUUUUGUUUGCGCAGUUUUCAACAAUGUCAAGCCAUAAUGAUCAUUGCAAUCAAGACUUUCAUUAUUUAUAUUAAAUUUCGAUAAACAACACAAUAUUCAUUAUUUAUAUUAAAUUUCGAUAAACAAAUAAAUAUAUAUCAACUAUUUCAAAGGGUAAAAAUAUAAUAGUAAAAUGUGAGGUUGGAUCAAGUGGAAGAAGCUAUACCAAAACUAUCCUGCUCCAUCACUCACCUGCAUUUUUUUUUUCAUUCGAAGUGAAUCAAUGCAAAAUCUGUGAAUAGAUUGAGUUUGACAUCAUUAAUCUAUUCAUCUUAAAUGAUUAUAAAAUUAUAAUAUUUUGUUAUUUUUUAAAUAAUUUUAUUAUAAGUUUCGUUUCGAUUAUAUUUAAUUUUUUAUAAUAAUAUCUAAAAUUAUCUAUAGCCCCUCCCUAACCCAUAAAUAAGAAGAUAAUAUACUUCUGCGCACUUAAACCCAUGUCCUCCCGUAGUGAUAACAAUACCCAUACUAAUCGAGUUAAGACUCGACCGACCAUUUCGUUCCUUUUUAAAUGAGAAAAAGAAAAAUAAAUAAAUAUAUACAACGUAGACAUAAAAAUUGAAUAUAUACAUAUGAAAAAGGGUAUGGAAUAUAAUUAAAGAAAAUGGGAAUGGACCAUCUUCAUUUCUUUUAGCAGCAACACAUGCAUUGAGAUGGUGACGAGACCAGAUGAUAUUUAAAAGGAAGUCCCAGUGACACGUACGUACUAUAGUACUUGAAUAUCAUACCAAAAAUAUUUAAAAUUCUAUUCAUAAAUCGAGUUAUAUAAAGUGUGAAGGCUUACUUAAAAUGUGAGAUGAUUUGAAUAAAAGUACGAGGAUCAAAAAAUAGAAUUAAGCAAAAUAAACUUAAGUUAGUCAAUAUGUAGACAAGUUUGAAAAAAAAAUUAGGUCCAUAUUUUAGGUUAGGUUAGAUCAGGGCGAACCUAAAUAUAGUAAUAUUUCACAUGGGUUCGGCUCAGCUCAUGAACACCUUUAGUCAUAAGUCAUAACCCAAAUAGUAAUAGUUAAAUUUGCUAGGUCAAAUUCCCGUACUAUGCAUAAUUUAUAGAUUUAGUCUUUGUUCUCUAAUUAGACCAUUUUUAGUUUCUAUACUUUUCAAAUUUUAAAAAUUUAAUCUUAACUCAAACGGUAGUUGUUAAAUCUAUUGGCUAAAAUGAUGUGUAUUUUUUUCCCCUUUGUGAAUAUUAUGUGGAAAUAUCAAGUUGGCGUGGCAUUCCACGUGCCACAAAACGUUUUCUGCAUAAGAUUUUGAAAAUAGCAAAAUUUAGCUUUACGAAUUUAAUGACACUAUUUAAUCAAGACUAAAUUUCAAAAAUAAAAUUGAAAAGUACAACAACUAAAAACAAUCAAAUUAAAGUACAGAAAUUAAAUACACAACUUAUAUAUAUAUAGUACAAGGACUAGUAUCAAAUUUUGACCUAUGAAUUUUUUUUUAUAUAUUGUCAUUGAAUUUUUUUAGAUAUCACAAGCAAGUAUUAAAAACAGACACGUAUACCAUUUAGAGUAUAAUAAAACAUAAAUAUAUUAUAUAUUAAAAAUAAAACACGUAACAAAAUCUAUUUACAAUAAUGAUGUGUAUCAAAUAUUAAGGGUGGUUUAGAUAGGCGGUAGGGUUAAGCUUACUUCUUGUCUCAUGCUACAUUAUUUAAUUUUAUCGCCACCAUUAUUUUUACACUAACUACAAAUAAACGCAUUGUCCAUCCAAACCAACCCAAUCCUCCUUAUAAAUAAAUACAUAUAAAAUAACAACUUAGUGAAGUUUGACUCAUUUACUUUUUAGCACAACAAUGAUUAUAAUUGGAAUCCAGCUCAAUUCAACUUAGGUAGAUAAUAUCUUUUUUAUGUAUUAGUGGCAUCUUUUGAUAGAUGUUAAUUUUUUAAAUUUUGUGAUCACAAUUUACUUUUUAAUAAUAUAAAAAUUAUAUUCCAUUUUUAUCAUAGUUUUAGAUCCCCAUAUUUUCAAAUUGGGUUUAAUUCAUGUUAAUUUCGUUUUUUUAUAUUAUGUUUUUUUUAAAAAUUUGAAAUUUCAGUUAUGAUUAAAUAAUAAUUAUUAAAUUCGUUAAGAUGGUCAUUUUUAAUUUCCAUAUUUUUAAAAUUGUGAAAUUUCAAUCCUGACCAAACGAUAGUUAUUAAUUUUGUCAAGUUAAAUUAUAUUAUUUCUAAAAUAUUAUGCAACAAACCUAUCGUUACAUGUGUAAUACAAUGUCAACUUGUUAUUUCAUAUAAUACUCGCAGAAAACCCAUAUUAUUUUAGUUAAUGGAUUUAAUGGCUAUUGUUUUAGUUAGGAUUGAAAUUUCAAAUUUUAAAAAACACAGGGACUAAAAAUGAUCAAAUUAAAACAAAGAUUAAAAUGGCAACUUAUGAAACCAAUUGCAGAAUUUAACAUAAUGGAUUUAGCUAUUACUAUUUGGUUUAAGAUUAAAAUAUCAAUCGAAAAGUAUAGGUACUAAAAUUGAUCAAAUUACAGUAAAAUUAUUAAAUCCACAAUUUAUGUAUAGUAAAAUAAAUAUAUACAGUUAAUAAAUAAAAUUAAAUAAGAAAUAAGCUUCAGGCUUAAUGGUUAAGAGAUAGCUUCCCUCCUUUGUGAUCCCAAGUUUGAACCCCUCUUUUCUUUUUUUAUUUCAUAAUUCUGCCAAAACAUAUUUUUUAUUAAAAAAUAAACAAGAAAUUAAAUAAUAGGCUCAAUGGUUAAGGCAUUUAUUCUCCUAGAAGUCUUAGGUAUAAACCCCAUUUCUUUCUCUUUUAUUUUUGGCAACCUCAGAUAAAAGCCACAACAAAACAUAUACUGUCAGGAAUAAAAACUAAUAAGAAAUAGGCGACAACCCAAUGGUUAAGCACUAGUUUCCCCAUUGAGAACUUGAGUUUGAGCCUCCUCCCUUUUCAUUUUAAUUUCAAAUUUCGGCAAAAUAUUGAUAAAAUUGCAAGUGCAACCCCUAGGGUUCACAAACCCUAGGAAUUGACCCAAUUCUUUCCUAAUUAAAAUUCAUAUCUUGCCCUUCCUAAAAAUUUAAAUAGAAUUAGAAUUCUAUCAUCUUUUUCUCUUUUUUUCCUAAUUAGAUUUUCAUAUUGCCCCUUUUCAAAUCCUAAUAGAAUUUGCUCUCCAUCUUUUUAUUUAUUCUCUAUUUAUUUUCUUUCCCUUUUUUACACCAUAUUUUCAUCUUCAUUAUUGAUAAUUAUUUUGCUUUCUCGAAUCAAAUCAUCCUCCAUACGAUUAUUCUUUCUAUCAGUUUUGGUACUUGCAAUCAAUAGCAUCCCUAUUAUUGCCAAUAAUCGAUAAGUACAUCUCAUUCUUGAUGUUUAGAUCCCGAUUUUUUUUGUAGAAUUUCUAUUUGACGAUAAUCUUUAAAUUCAAUUACUCAAUCUUUUAUGGUUCUUGACAAAUCUUUCGAUAAUCUUGAUAAAUCUUGAAAUCAAUCGUUAAUACAUGUGUAAAUGUCAUUUGAAGGGCCUAAUUUAGGUGUGUCAGGCCAAAAUCGAGCAUAAGGAAUGUCAAUCAAACUAUUUGUGAAAUGUGUGUGUUUUUUUACAAGUGAAUCGGGAUAAAUAUGUCUAAAAUUAGGGCCACACAGGCAUGUGGACCACACGACCCUCCACACAACCAUGUACCCUGCAAACCCUAGGCUAGUUCAAAUCUCACGCGGCUAAAAACCUUCCACACGGCCUGCCACAGAGUUGUGUCUCCCCUGUAGGUUAAUUUUUGCAUUUGCCACACGGUCACAGUAUGUUAUAGGGUCUAGCCACACGGCUGUGUGACCCUUGUUUUACAAUUUUGCCCAGAAUUUUAUGAAUUGUUCAGUUUAGUCCCUGUAUAAUCCCUAAACUAUUUUUAAAAAUUUUAUUCACAUGAUUGAGUCCUUGAUAUUAUAAACAUGCUAGAUUAUGUGAUUUGAUAAUUGAACUGCUACUGUUUAAUGUUGAUAUGUGAAUAUUUCAAGUCUAUUGUCACUGUCUUUCUAAUGAACUGAUAUUGGUAUUAUUGCCACUGUAGUACUGGUUGCAUGCUUACCGUUAUUGUUAAACUGAAUACAUGUUAAACAUGCCUACUGUUACUAUUGAACUAAAUACAUGAUAAUCAUGCCUUUUGUUAAUGUUAAUCUGAUCCAUGCUAAGCAUGUCUACUGUUUCUGAACUGUACUGUACUAUUAUUAGCAUGUCAUACUACAUUACAUGGGGUGAGACGCUUUGAAAGGAGGAAGUACAGGCAGUUUAUCUGCAAACAUUGGUGGUUUAUCCACAAACUUAUUGGAAACUUUUAUAUGCAAACCCGUUUUAUAUUUACAAUUACUAGCAGUGUAUUAACCUACAACACUGGUGGUUCAUCUAUAAUGUUUACUGGCAGAUUUUGUCUACAAACCCAUUGUGUAUUCACAACUACUGGCAGCGUAUUAACUUGAAACACUUGUGGUUCAUCCAUAAACUAGAGUGUCCAGGAUAUAAGAGUUUUGGGGAACUCUUACUAUGAAGUGUAGCGAUAGGGUAGGACCUUUCUUUUCUAUUAAAUUGAAAUUGUAUUACAUUGACACUUAUAAGCAUACUCGAAUGAAUUGUCAAUUUUUUGCUAUACUAUAUGAUUAUUAUUGUACUGAAAACUAUUAUUAUGAAUGUUUGGUUUAUUAUUUUGCACUGAUUCUCUUGUGAUAGAACUCACACUGAGCUUCAUAGUCCACCCCCUUAAUUUCCAUCCUUACAAAUAACCCAUCAAGUUAGGAUGCGGACAUGACACCUGUAACACCCCUAACCCUUAUCCGUCACUAGAACAGGGUUACAGAGCAUUACUGAACCUUACGAAUUAAAUACGAACAUUUCACAACUUUUAUUAUACAUAUCAAGAAUUAGUUAUAAAACACUCAUAUUGUCUCUUAGAUGGACCCUCGAGGCCCAAUAUACACCUUAGAAGUGAAUCGAGACUAAACCAGGUACUCAGGAAAUUUUUCCCAAAAUCUCAAUAAAAUUUUCUUAGGAGCAGGGGACACAUGCCUAUGUGGCCGACCGUGUCAUGUUUUAGGUCGUGUGGGCAUUCGAUAUGAGGCACACAGCCGUGUCUUUACCCGUGUAACUCUCUGACUUGGGUCACAUGGCCAACCACAUGCCCGUGUGCUAGGCCGUGUGCAAGGGCAGGUCGUGUCUCUACUUGUGUGGACGAAAAUAGGCCAUUUUAAGGCCACUUUUCUUACCCUUUUUGAUAUCAACCUAUACACAACAUUUCAAUACAUCAAAUAGCCCCAAUCAAGUAAUCAACACAAGUCAAAACUCAUGUUUUAAACAUAAUAUAUCAUCACAAAUAUCAAUUGCCUAAGCUUACCAAAAUAACUUCAUUCAUCGAUUUACCAAAACCUACUACUAAAUACAUGCAUACAAACAUAUAUAUAAGUCAUUCAUAAUCAUACUUCAAAUUUAACUCUUUUCCAAUCCAGCCCUAUACAUUCCAUAUAAACCAUAAAAUGUAUAACAAAAUCUAUCGGAGCAAACUGGAUAGUGUGGUUCAAUGUGUUGAUCUGAUCCUCCAAACUUCUUGAAAAUCUAUAAAGAACAUUAAACGACACAGUAAGCUUAAUAAAGCUUAGUAAGUUCGUUGGCUUUAAAUAUAAAUCUUACCAAACUUACUAUAAUAAUUCAUUUAGGUAACUCAUUUCACAAACAUUUUCUGCCAAUCACAACUUCGGUUGAUGAAUUCACUUAUUUGAGCUCAAUAUUAAUAAUAACUUAAAUUCUUCCACAGUAAUUCCAUAUGGCACUUACCAGUCCUUGUCAAAUCAGAGAACAUCUUACGGAUUUGAUUACAUCGUAAACAGAAGCCCGAAGGCUGCACAGAAGCACAUAAGUGCUAAACGGAAACCCGUAAGGGUUUAACGGAAGCACAUAGAAGCUAAACAAAAACCCAUUAGGGUUAAACGAAAACAUAUAUGAGCUAAUUGAAGCUCAUUAGAGCUAAACGAAAAGCAAACAUGAAAGUUCGCAACAAACGCUGAACCUCGGUUUACUUGGGUAAUUUUUUGUCAAUUCCUCAUUUGCACUGAACGACUGUACUCAAUCACGCGUUCCAUUCGUUUUGAACAUUCAAUUCAAUUUCAUAACUUUAAUAAUAAAUUUAUUUUCAACAAAUGAUAUGAAUAAAUAAAUAAUAUCAUUCACCAAUUAGCAUAUAACAUUAAAAUUUAACCAUACGAACUUACCUGGAUUUGAUGUAAGUUUGUUGUAGUUCAAUGAUUAUUCAAUUAAUUUCCCUUUUUCACAUUGAUCUACGGGAUCUUUAUUUAAAAUGUAAAAUUAUUCAUUCAUUAGCACAUAUUUCAAUUCUAAUUCAUUUCACAAUUUAUACCCCUCAAUUUUUGAAAUUGCACAAUUACCCUAACUUUUAUAAUUUUUUUACAAUUUAGUCGCUCACCAAUUAGCCCAUCAAAUAAGCUAUUUUUUCUCAAUUAACACUUUAUCUAAAUAUUAUAAGCUAUUACACAGCCUUUGAUAAAUAUAAUUUAAUACCAAACCCUAAGAUUUAAUCUUUUUCACAAUUUGGUCCUAAAAUCAAUUUCUAUUGAAAUUACUUGAUAAAAUCAUCAUAUAACAAAAUUAAAGCUUUAAUUCCAUGUUAAUUCAUCAUAAACAUCCAGAAAUAAUCAAUGUUAACUUUCAAAAUUACCCAUAAAAUCAAAAACUAAUGAAUUGAUAGUUGGACCUAAUUGCAAAAGUCUUAAAAACACAAAAAUUUCAAGAAAGAGCAAGAAUUAAACUCACUUGUAGAAAAAUAUGAAAAACCAGAUUUUUAAGGGUUCUUCAAUGGUGUUUUUGGCUGAGAAUUAUGAAGAAAUGUCUAGAUAUUCAAUUAAAUCCCAUUUUUAACUAUUAAGUUUUAUUUCAUUUCCAAUUUUACCCCUUGUUCACAAUAAUUUCAUGAUUUUUUUUGCACUCAUGCCGUCCAGCCUCUUAUUUUAGGUUUAUUUACCCUUGAAGUCCCUCCUCAUUUAACAUUUAGGCUAUUUUAUCACGUUAGCAAGUUUUGCACAUUUUUCAAUUUAGUUUUUUUUAAUUAAUUAACUAUCGAAACAUUAAAAUUUUCUAAUGAAACUUUAAUACUAACUUAAUAACACUCCAUAAAUAUUUAUAAAAAUAUUUACGGCUCGAUUUAUUAAAUCGAGAUCUCGAUACUUCGUUUUUGAAACUAAUUAAUCUAAUAAAUACUUCUAAAUCAAAAAUUACUAAUUCAAAAGUCUUCUAAAAUCAUACUUGACUCAUAAAUAAUAAUUAAUAAAAUUUUUAAACUCACUCGUCGGAUUUAGUGACCUCGAAUCACUGUUUUCGACACUACUGAAAAUUGGGUUGUUAUAACAUCUGGAGGGUCUCGGCUCGGUUUUGUUUGUUAAGAUAUUUUUAUUAUUUAGAGACUAUAUUAUUUUAUUUUGAAAUGUGACAUGAGACAUAGGAUUUGAGAUUUUAUAUAUUUAUUUAUUUAUAGCUUGCAUGACAUUUAAUUUGAUUUAGGAUAUCGAAUUAUGAAUAUGAAUUAGUUAUGCAAGAAUUCCGAUUUUUAUUAAAAAUAUAAAUAGAUAUCAUUUUUCUGUUGCUAAACUAUAAUUAAAAUAUUGGGUAAUAAGUAAUUUGGUAAUUAACUAGGUUUUCAAAAAGUAGUCACCGUUACAUAGCUUAAUUAAAUUUAAACCGGUUAUUGACAACUCGUAAAUUUUUCUGAAAACAGACUAAAUUUUCUUCUAGAAUAAACAAAUAUUUUAAAAUAAGCACUAUUUAUUAUUAAAACUAAUGUAAGAUAUUAAUUAUUAUAAAAAAUUAAUCAUUAUAAAAUAAAUUCCAUCUACGAAUUUUAUGAUAAAUAUAAUUUAUGUUGUAUUAUUUUACUAAAAAUAUUUUUUUUAAAUGAAAUUUUUUUAUUAAAUAACACAAAAUAUUUUAUAUAGAACCAUCCAACACAAAAAAAAAAUUAUUUUUCAAAAAUAAAUAAUUUUUAAUGAAACAAAUAUAGCUAAAGAAAGUAGAUAUUGUAACCAUUGAAGCCACACAGACAUGGAUAUUGUGCUUUAAAUAUUUUACUGAAAAUUGGCUAAAAAAUGUUUAUUGAAAGAAAAAAAAAUUACAAGAAAAAGUAUGGGCCCGACUUUACCACUUGCUUUGCAAAUGAGCUCUUGUUCUGGUCCUUGUCCCCCAUUGCUGAAUGGCAACAUCAAGCAACCUCAAAUUAUUAUCUUAUAGAUUUGAUUCAUUCCAAUCCGAUUAAUGAUUCAUAUAUGCCCCUCCCAUAAACAAAGGAUAUAGUAUUGUUAAUUUCUUUACAACCCCUCAUUGACUCUUUUACCAUUCAAUUUUAGUCCAUAUUGCUGCAAUUCAUAUGUAUAUAGAUAACCCUUGUUUAUUUUCUGGGUAUAAAAGUUGAAGCAGGAGAGAAGCAUAAAGGUAUAAAGGCAAAUGCAUGGGCUAGAUUGGUAUGGUAAGCUCAAGUCCAUGCAAAUUCCAUAAGUGAGCAUGGGAAUGAAUCUGACAAAUGUUGGUGAGUAAUACUGGAAAGAAGAAUCUGACCACAACCACCUUUCUAAAGGGAGAAAAAGAAAUUUUACAAUAAAGUUUAAAGGAUGAUAUGUAACCGUAUUUAUAAAAUUAAUAUCAUAUAUUGGUAAGUGUGGUAGUCUAUUAUGAUGAUAAUAUAUAGUAUUAUCUGCAGGUUGAGGAGCAAUGAGACAAAGCACUUGAAUAGUAUCUUUUGAUGUUAUUGUGGGACUUACAGUAAGUACUAUUUGCUUGCCUCUUUGUGUCCUCUAAUGGUAUCUCUCCCUUUCUCUCUCCACUCAUUGAUUUGUAGCUAUUGAAACACCGGAAGAGCCCAAAAAUCAACAAACACUUGUUACUGUAUUAUCUUUUUCUUGCUUUUUUGGUUUGCUGAAUUCUCUGACUUUGCACCCUCAUACCCAUCUCUCUAAACCUCUGCUUUCCCAUAAUUGUACACCUCCUCUUCUAUCUUAUCUCCUCCUUUUUCAUCUUUAACACUCGCUGUACUAUUUGUGGUAGAAAAAUAGCAGAAAAACACAAAAACACCCACAGGUUUAUAUACUUCUUUGUCUCUUCAUACUUCAUCUCAUACCUUACAGAUGUAUUAAACCACUCAAACCUUUGUUUGUUGCUUCGAAAGAUAUUCCAAGUAAGAAUCUUUUUCACCAUCUUAUAUAGUUUAUGGAUUUGGUUUUUCUUUUUUUUUUGUUAGCUUUUGUUUUGUGUUACUGAUUUGAAGCUGCUGUUUUGCACUGUUAUGUUAAGCCUUUUUGAAUUUUCAGCUUGAUUUGGUUUCAUCUUCUCUCUUUUUUUAAUGACUUUUAGAGUGAUUUUGUUUGCAUUUUCCAUGUUAAUUCUAGCUGCUAUUAGUUUGUGAAAAAUGGUUCUUUCAUUCCACUGUUUCUGAUAGAGAUUUGGAGAUGAAAUUAACUUAACAUGAAUCUGAUGAAGCACUUUGAACAGACUUUUAGGGUUAUGAAAAAAAAAGCACUUUCUUAGGCAAUUCUGAAUAGCUUUCAUCAGUUUCAUGCAUGUCAGCUGAUUCCUCAAACCCUCAUUUCUUUAGUAUCUGAAUUUGACACCUAUUUGGUCAUAUAUGAACAGCUAUUUAUACUUUAAUCAUGAUUUUGAGCCAAAAAGUGAAACGAAAAUAAAAUUUGAGUGUGUUUGGUAAAGAAGGAAAAGUAGAAGGAAAUGAAAAUGAGAGAGAUGGCUAUUUCAAUGCAUGAAACUUAAUGAGAGAAAAUUCGUGGGAAAAAAGUUACCAAGCACACCAAUACGAAUCCUUACUUAUUAGACAGCUAGUUCUACGAUUAGCUUGAACCCAUUGUAUUAAUGUAGCCUACCGGAAAAUUCUAAAUCCAGUUUCAUUCAAUGUCAUGCUCUAGAAGGGAAUGGAUAUCAUGUCAAUUUUGUUUCUUCCUUAAUGUUUACUCUUUGCACCGUGAUUGGUUCUCUUUUUUUUCAAUUCCAUUAGCUUGAAGAUCAACAGUUUUGUCGCUCGUUGAUCCAUUAGUGGAUAAUUGGAUCCUUUUUGUCCUCAUUUAUAGGAUUUUCUCAUUUCAAAUAAGAGAAGUUGGAGAUAAAUCAUAGAUACCCUUCAUCAUGUUAGCCGGAAGUAAGACCUAUUUACCAUUGGUUAGCAUUAUGAACUUUUAUGGCUGCACGAUGCGUGUGAUUGUUUAAUGUUUACGGACUUGUAUUUAUGGAGAUUAUUACAUGUAUCACUUAGUUAAACCAUACUGUCCAUGUUUCCAAGGUUGGAUUUUUUUUCUUCAAAUGGAAGUUAGCAUGCUCAUCAUGACGGAUUACAUAUGACAAGCUUGAGAGACCAGAAUAUACUGUUAAAAUGAUGUGUUAUCGCAAACACAUCGGUUAAAUCUUGAAUUGCUUGUUGUCUUAUAAUCAAAUUGGAUUUUUCAACCAAUUUGAAUUGAUGUUAAAUUAUGCAUGUUACUCAUGUCUAUUAGUCCGCCGUGCUUGCCGUUAAAUCCUGGAUUGCUUAUGGUUUUAUGUUUGAGUUUGGUCUCUGCACCUAUUUCUAUUUGAUUUUACAUUGAAUGCUUAACAUAUAGUACGUGCAUGACAACUUCGGCCAAUUGCAUCUUUCUUGCUCACUUAAACUUUAGCCAAUGAUUCAUUUCUUUUGGUAUGUGCAGGUGUUGAAGAGCUAUAUAAUUAGUACUGCAGCAAUCCGUACCGGGUAUCAAAAGGAACAAGCACAAAACUUGCUGCUUUACCGAGAAUGACACUGCCGAAUCUUGGGUUAGAAUCUGAAAACGAUUCCAAUGCAAGUAGCCAAGUCGCUUCCAACAUAUCUGCACAAGAGGCAUCCACUGAUCCCUCGAAGGAUACCACAACCACUACUUCAUGCCUCUCGAAUCCUGUAAAGGUUCAACCAGAUCCAGGGUCUGUUUCCCUUGACCUGACUCUGCACUUCAGUGCCAAUGAUGCUGAGAUGAAGGGUGCCACUGGUGAGACUAUGGGGAUCAACACUUUGUCAACACCGAGGGUUUUCUCUUGUAAUUACUGCAGGCGCAAGUUCUAUAGUUCACAAGCACUGGGUGGACACCAGAAUGCUCACAAGAGGGAGAGAACAAUGGCAAAGCGUGCGAUGCGGAUGGGGUUAUUAUCUGAUAGGUAUACAAGCUUAGCAUCUCUGCCUCUCCAUGGUUCGGCAUUUCGGUCCCUUGGGAUCAAAGCUCAUUCCGCUAUGCACCAAGGAAUGUUGCCAUCAUCCCAAAGACCUGUAGAUACAAGAAGUGGAGCACGGUUCGAUCAAGGGUGUUUUGGGAUGCCGAUAUUCAUGGAAGAUGAGGAGGUAGACUUGUAUUGGCCAGGGAGUUUCAGGCAGGUGAAUGAAGAAAGAGUUGGGAGUAACCAAGCUAUGGAAUUGGGUCAAAAUCCAACUCAAAGUUCAAAUAUAGGUUUUAUAGCAAUGGCAACACCACCAAGAGCAGAUGCAUCAUCUCAAUUGGAUCUCACUUUGAAGCUCUAAUAAUUUUUGAAGUUUACUUGUCAAUUUCAUCCGAACCUGAUACUGAUUAUGUUAGCUCACUCUUGUACAGUGAGGUGCAUUAGCAAUAGCUGCUACCUCCUAUCAUUAUUUUUGCUAGAUUCCUUUAAUUUGAUAACUUUUUCUUUUUUAAACCUUUAUCUGUACCCAUGUUCGCUGCCGAUCAGCUACGUUUGGUUAUGAAAUGAAAGCUAUAGCCUUUCCCUGUAGCAUCAUUUUACUAUUCUGACAAGGUGAACUUACUCACCCCAACACUCCAACCCUUGCAUUAGCAAAGUAGAGACUAAAUUAGAUGAAAUGAACUGAUUGACCAAAUCGGAUUUUCAAACAUUGAAUGGUUCAACUUAGAUUGAAUUUCUUGUUUUUCAAAUUAUUGAAAUUCAAUUUGUAUGACUUGAAACGUUGAACAUUGUUUGAAGAACAAGGUUGGAUGAAUGAUGACUCGGUGUUGGAUAUCUAAGAGUGCUUUUGGAUGGACAGUGCUUUUAUUUUCUGUAAGGUUAAAAACAACAAUGGCGAUUGUGAGAAUAUUUUACAGCAUCAUAGCUACUGCCCAUGCAAAGGCACCUACCCUAAAAGUGAAUUAAGUGUAGUUUUAUCGAUAUUAUUAUAAUGUUUUUGACAUAAACUAGAAAAUUAAGUGUUGAAUUUAAGUUAAAAAAUAUGUUUGGUGUAUUAUUUAAAAUUAAAUAUUGAAUAUAUUUAGAUGGUUUGAUAAAAGGAUAAAAUAAUCCAAAAUAAAAUAAAAACAAUUGCACGUACUCUCUAUUAAGUGAUAAGUAGGUCUUUAUUUACUUAUCAUUUUUUCCAUACUUUUUUGUAGAAAAAAAAAUCUAUUUAAUUGUUUUCAUUGUAGGCUAUCAAGGGCGUUUUUAAAUGUAAUUUAGUAAAAAUAUUAAUUUAGGCCGUCAACCUUUAAAAAGUCGAAUUUGACUGUCAACCUUUUUAAAAAAAGUUGAAUUAUUAUUUUUUAAUGGAAAUAUUGACUAAAAAGUUAAAUUUUUAAACAUGUCAGCCCACAUGGAAAUACUCAUGUACUUCAUGCUAAAUUCUUUUUUUUUUUAAUUCUUUUCUUUUUAUUUUUUAUAAUAUUUAUUUAUAUGACAUAUGAGACAUAUAAUGACAUGUCAACAUAAAAUUCACAUGGAUUGUCACACGGAUUCUCAUGCCGACAUUAUAAAAAAAACUAAUAUUUUAGUCAAUAUUUUAUUUUAAAAAAAUAAUUUAAUUCUUUUUAAAACGUUAAUAGUCCAAUCUAACUAAAAAAUAAAGGUUAAAUGACAAAAAAAAUAUAAGAUUUAAAGGAUAAAUUUAUCAUCAUACAAUUAAUUAUAAGAUUAUAAUAAUUUGAUUUAAAAAAAUUAAAAUUAUCAAAAAAUUAAUCUAUUCUUGUCAUCAACUAUUUCAAAAAACUGUAAAUAUUUUAUAGAAAAACAUUUAUAAUUUCAGUCACGGACUGAGCAUGCACAAGAGAACGCAAUUUGAUAUAAAAAAAAUGAAAAAUAAAACUCUUAAAUCACGAGAUAUUGAUUUUAUGGAUUGAGCCAAUAUAUAUCAUUCAAAAUUACACGUUAGAAAUAUAUAUACCUUUAAAUUGCCAACUUGUUGCAUCAAUGUAACAACAAUACCGUGUUGACACUUCACAUUUAUAUCUUCUUGAAUUUAGAUGAGCGAUGUGUUUAUCUGUAAUUGGUGUUAAAAUAGUAGUGAAUGUAAGAUUAGAUACUAUAGUGAUACUAUAACGUGAAUAAAAAAAUAAGCUAGACGCACCACACUACAUCUUACCGCCUAUCCAAACCCACCCUUAAUUCUUAAACAAAACCAGGUUAUUUGUUCAUAUAUAUAUAUAUAUAUGGAGGUACCUCUUAAUAUAUCUAAAUGUAUUUUAGACUUAAUAGGUACUUAAAUUUAGAAAGAAUAAGUUAAUUUGGUAAUUUUUUAAGUACUUAAUUAAUAUCGUUAAAAUACAUUGAUAUAGCACUAACUAUCAAUAGAAUGGUGACUGAUGGGUGUCGAAACCACUAAAUAAAAUAAUUCCUACAAUAAAAUAACUCUAAACACUAGUAAAGAGUAGUAAGGUCGAGUUCACAGGGAUUGAAUAUUAUGAUCAACUUCUGUGUUUUUCUUGUGAACAAAAUUUCGGUCGAGCUGAUAGUCGUGGUAAUAGUCGUGCCCACGACUCUAAAUGGACUUGCUGAAAAAUAAAUAAAAUAAAUUAGGGGAGUUGGAAAUGUCUAGAAAUUAACUUAUUGAGAUAGCAAAACUAAGCAAUUAAAGAAAUCGAAAGUAAAAUUAAAUUAGAAAAUGAAUUUGGGUUUUGCAAACAUAAUUAUAAAGCCUUAGCCUUAGACUCGGUGAAGUCUGGUUUCUGAAUCGAUCUUCGAAAAUUAGUUUUCUUCUUAAACAAUAACUUGGUUAUAGCGGCUAAGAACGUCCUAACCGCCAAUUCUUCCUCUCGUAGUUGAUUCCAGUACGACCUGCAAACCAACCCUUACUGAUUAUCUAACUACAAUAUCGCGUUCACGAUUCAAGACUCCGGUAGCCUUGCGUUCUGAAGAACCCAACUCGGAUUAACAGCCUUAACUGUGCGGGUCGUUUAAAUCAGAUCAUUAUCUCCCUUGACGAAAAUCUCACUAGUAUGACCUCGCUAGGACACGCCAAUUUGUUCGCAAUAAUCCAAACAUAGCACGGCCAACUCGUCUUCCCAACUAUAAGCUAAAACGACUCCAACCCAACACGCACUUUGUGUUAAAAUCGAGUUAACUUUAAGGGAUGAAUUUGUCAAUCCCAAUAUUCCGGAGAGGCAGUGAAUACCAUUAUGAAAGAUUUUUAGUGCGGGUAUAUUUCUCUCGAUUCUUAACCGAAAAGAAUACCAGCCUAAAACUAAGUAAAGAUUUAGUGAAACAUGAAAUUAGUCAUGCUUUUGUUGGUUUAUGGAAAUAAUUUUUAAGGAAAUGGUGAAAGUUGAAAAGAAAAGGGACUCAGAAAGCAAUUAAACAAUUUUGCAAAGAAACAAGGAAAUGGAAAUGGAAUGACAGUAUGCUACUCACGCGUGAAAUUGGAAGGGAAAAUUCAAUUCCAACUGAAUUCAAAUGUGUCUUUUCAAGUGUACCAUACCACUUAAUUUAUACAUAAAUCAUAUACUAAAAUUAGGCUAAUUCCACCUACUAACUAAUUACAUGAAAAAUAUAAUAUUAUGUUUUCUAAAUUUGGCUUUUACAAAGUCAAAAAAAAAUCUGAUCAGCCCUUUAAUAUUUCUAAAUUUCUAAUUUGGCCACUCUUCUAUUGUUCAUGCUCCAAUUGAAUCCUUUUCUACUCGUUUUUUGCAUUAAAGUAUCCGAAUUUCGUUACUGACAAGAUUUAAACAUAAAAUUCACCAAUUAGCAAUAGUUAAUUCAAGAACAAGUUGAUUUGAGCACGUAAAAUAUGCAAAAUAAACAUGCUAUCAGUGACACGUAACAUCCUCUAAUAAAAAUAAAAAUAAUUAAAAUUAAAAAAAAUAUUUUGUUAUACAUGGGGAAUGAACUUAGACAAAUAGUUGUCCAGAUUCAGAUGAACUAGACAACCAUCGGUCCAAGUUCAUUUUAGAUAUAUAUAUAUUUUUAAAUUUUUUAUAACAUAUCAAAAAAAAAUUUAUACUUGAUUGAGUUUUAGCUUAGUUGGUAUUGGUAAAUGUUACAAAUGGAAGAGGACAUGAAUUCGAAUGCAUUGAAAUGCGUUUAUCUUCUUAUUUAUCAAUUUUUAUUACCACAUUAUUAUUUUAAAAUUAAAAAUAUAUAAAAAAAUAGAAAUUUAUAAAAUAUUAGAAAUGUUAUUUCACCCAUUUAUAAUAUAAACACCAAAUUUAAACCAAUUUUUUUUCAACUUAAGGAGAACUUAAUUCUAUAUUAUAGUCUACAAAGAAGUUGUUUUCUUUUAUUCGAAAAUUUAAUUAAUUUGAACCCAAUUUAAAUUUAUUAUAUCAGUGCUAGAUAGUUCAAAUUAGACCUGUCCAUGGGCCGGGCGGCCCGGCCCUACCCGAUGGCCCUCCUGAAAUAUGGGAGGGUUUGGGUAAAAAUAUAGGCCCGAAAUAUGGGCUUGGACAAAAUUUUAGGCCCGUUUAAAAAAUGGGCCAGGCCUCGAGUAAGAUUUUUUUGCCCGAGCCUGGCUCGGCCCGGCCCGAAAAUAUUAAAUAUAUCUUUUUUAUUUUUAAAAUAUAAUAGUUUUUAUUUUAAGUUUAUUUACUUUCAUUUCCUUGACUAGUGUUACAAAAUAAUAAUAAUAAAACAUCAAGUUUAUUUUACUAAUCAAAUGUUAGAUUUUGUUACAACAAUUAAUACAGUUAAUACAAUUAAUAAUUUGAUAAAUUUACUAAUCAAAUUUUAGAUUUUAUUACAACAAUUAAUACAAUUAAUACAAUUAAUAAUUUGAUAAAUUUACUAAUCAAAUGUUAGAUUUUAUUACAACAAUUAAUACAAUUAACAAUUAAUAAUUUGAUAAUUUUACUAACAAUUAAUUUUAAUAACAAUUAGUUUUAAUUUUAUUAAAAAAACUAAUUUUAAUUUUAAUUAAAAACGGGCCGGGCCGAGCUCGGGCCUCGUAUUUUUUCUUCGGGCUGGGCCUGGGCAAAAUCUCAGGCCCAUAUUUUGGGCCGGGCCCGAGCCUAGUAAACGGGCUGAAAAUUUUGUGGGCCCGGCCCGAACCCGGCCUGGCCCGGCCCAUGGACAGGUCUAGUUCAAAUAUAACUCUAGUUACAACUUGGUUUGUAUAUGAUAAAGUAAUGUAAUUUGUUAUAUUAGUUACACUUGGCACUUGGACAAUAGAUAAACAAAUAGGGGACACAAGGUCUGUUUACGCAAUUCAAUUUCCCUAUGUUUACGGAGCCUAACUCAGUGAGACAUAUUCACUAUCUUCCAUGCUUACAACAAGUGAUCCUAAAUCUAUCACACACUCGUGACAAUUUCUUUACUUUUGCACCUUGAAGACUAAUACUGUCAUCGCUAAAUUUACCCAUUUGAAUUCAGCAAGUAAAAUCACAACACAAUAGGUUUUGCUAUCACAAUGCACUCAUAAAAUAAAGUUCCUCACUCGAACAAAUUAAAUGUUAUCUCUCUCUAUACAAUAACUUAUACAAGUCUCUCAAUUAUAUAGAAUAUUUCGAGACUUACUUACAUAAAAAAGAUCUAUCACAAUCCCUAUAAAACAACAAUAAGAUAAGCUGAAUAUAAUAAAAUAAUAAUAAACAUUCAAUCCAUUCCAAUAUCCAUGAUCCAAGCAAUUAGAUAAGGGUGAUCUGAUGCGAUCUACUCUUCCAAAUAUGUUUCCCCAAGUGAUAUGAUCUUUAAUGAUGGGAUAAAUGCAAUCCGCAUAAUCAACAUAACCCAUAAUUUCGAUUCAAUAAAUUGCCAACAACACAAACAUGAAAACUGCACACGGUGUCGCUAUUAUUCAGGGAGUGGGCACUCCCUCAGGCACUCCUUUAUACUUCCCAUAUUUUUCAACAAAAGAUAUUUAAUUUGUCGAGGAUAUUAUAUAGAAAAGAUCUUUGUUGAUUUAACUCUAUGUUGAAGACUUGUAUUGAGUUGAAUUAAAUGAAUUAGAGAUUUACAUUAAUUGUAAUUGAGAGAGCACUUAUUUGUUUUAGUGGGGAGUUUGUUUUUAGUGCAAAAUUAGUAUAAGCAAGUUGCUCGUGUUGUUCAAUUUGUAACUAAACUUUAAAGGAAGAAAGUCUUAGCGGGAGAGUGACUUAGACUUUGUAUAGGAGUGAGGUUGUAACUUGGUGAGUAAUUUAAAUUCAUAUAAUUUUUUUGAAAAAUAUCUUUAUAUAAAAAUUUUAAAUUAUUUUUACUAAUUUAAAUAUAAAAUAUUUAAUUUUACAUUCCGCCCCAAAAAGUACAAUUGAUUGCGCAAAGAAUAUUAAUUAAUUUUUGGUUUUAGGGUUUUUCGAGGUAGUUUACGAAUUUAGAGGAAAAGCAAUGCAAUACUUUACAACGAAGCACACUUUGUCAUGAGAUUCUCGUUUUAAAUGAUGCCUUUCUUCACGAAUAUAUAUAUAUAUAUAUAUAUAUAUACAUAUAUAUCAUAUUAUACCUUCAUUACAAUAAUCAAUAAGUAAUCCUUGUUCAUUGGUGGGAAAAAAAGUAAUCCUUGUUCAUUGAUGAAUUUUUUAAAACUUAAAUUAGAUUAAGUUUAAAUUUAAAAUAAAAAAAUUAAUUAUGUCAAUCAGUUUAAAUUAUGAUCUAAUUACUAAAUAUCUUAUUUAAAUUUAAUAAUAAAAUUUAAAUAAUUUUGAAUUGUAAAAUUAACUUUGGAAAAUAAUUAUUAACUUUAGUAAAUUUUUUAACUGAUUUGGACAUAAAUAGAGGAUUAUGUAGUCAAAUCUUUUAAUUAGAGUGUUUGUCGAACAGAGAUUUGUAAGUGUUUUAUGAGUUAAAACCUCAAACACAAAAAAACGCAAGGAUGAAUAACUUUUUUCAUAGUUAAUUGGGAGUGAGAUAUGUGGAAUGACAUAUCUGAUCAUGCUUACUCAAAAAUUACUCCCUUUGCCACAUGCUCUCAAACCUAAUGUGGGUGUCAAUAUAUGAGUAGCCUCUGUUCUAAAAAAAAUAUUUACUACUUAAUUUAUGUAUUCUUAAUUUAUUUUCAAUUUACUUGUGUAAAAUAAUUUCUUAUGCAACUUAAGAAAUUUGCAAAUAAGAAACUUGAGAAUUUUGUUUUAAUUCCUAUAAUGGACGUGUUUAAUUCCUUGGUAAUAGUAUUUUAUUUCAACAAUUUCUCCCAAUAAAAAUUAAAGUAUUAUAAACAAAUAAAUACAUAUAACUAAAAUAUAUCAUGCCCUUAUUUGUCAUUUUACACAUGUUAACUUUCAGUUACCGAUUAAAUUUUACCGAAUACAUGUAAAUAAAUACUUUAUAAAAUCAGUUAAUCAAACCAACCACUGAACCAGCAAUAAGCAAAUUACCAAAAAAAAUAUUAUAUUUGAGUUGCUUGUUCGUGACCUAACCUAAUCUAAGAUUGUGCUUGUUUUUGGUUGCCCAAUAUUAAAUAAAUAUAGCAUCUUCCUUAAUCCUUAAAGUCAAUCAACAUUAACAGUUAAUUAAAUAAUUAAUAAUAUAAAAUUGUAUCUGACAGAUAGACAGGACAGCUAAGUUAAUUUGAAAUUUUCGAAGCAUAUCUUAUUUGGUAAUAUGGUCCAAACCAAAUAUCUUUUGCGGGCAUUAGCUCUUGGCGAAGCAAAUAAAAUAUCCUUAAUCUUUAUUUUAUUCUAUUUUUUUUAACAUUAAUCUCGUUAUAGGUUUUUGUCAUAUCUGUUCUUUUUUAUACAACGUCUAGAACUACUCAUAACCUUUCUCCAACCCUUAAAUAGGAGGAUAAUGCGCUUCAACGCACUCGAACCCACUUCCUACUGCGCCGACAAUAAUACCGAUGUCAAUCGAGCUAAAACUCAAUCGACAUGUUUAUUUUAUUUAUUUAUUUUAUUUGGUGAAUUAUAUAACGAGUUUUCUCAUUUCAUAAUUCACACUAGUUCUUAAUUACAUAUUAUUUUUUUUAAACUUUACUUUGAAAUGUUAAAUCUUACAAUUAAAUUUUGCGAUUAAAAUUAAUCAUUAUAAAAUACGACCAGAUUGAUAACUGGAAUAAUAUUUAUACAAUACUAGCACAUAAUAAAACUUAAAUUAAAAUAAAAUCUGAAUUAAAAUCCACACGUACAUUAUAUUUAGAAAUGGUGGAUUCAAACUUACGAUUUCAAAAUUAUCAAAAUUUCAAUCUUAUCCUUAAACUAAAGCCCCAUUGACACCACUUCUAAUAAAUAAAAUAUUAAAAUAUGUCUUAGGUCAUUAUACUCUUUAGACAUUUAGAAUUUAGUCUCUUUACUUUUCUCAAAUUUCAAAAUUCUUUUGUUAAACUCACUAAUGUGACACUUUAACAUAAAUAAAUAAAAAUGUUAUAAUGAACUUGCAUUUAAUAAAAGAAUUUUAAUGAUGAUAAUAAUUGAAAUUGCAUUUUAAAAUUCUAAAAAUAGAGGGACUGAAUUUCUUAAAGAAAAAAUAGAUGGAUUAAAUUUCAAAUGUAUAACGACUACAAGGACUUGAAUCAUAGUUUAACCAAAAUAAAACCAAAAGCAUGUAGUAAAAAAAAACAUAGUGAGUGAAGCAGAAAGAAGACAUAAAUAAAGUAUGAUUCAAAUUUGAAUGAUUUUCUAAGAUAAUUAAUUAAAUAAAUGUGUGGACAUCAAUUUUGUUGCACUUUAUUGUGUUGGGUGAAUGUGGGUCAUGCUUUCAUCUUUGCCAAAUUUCAAUGGGAAACAAUAAGAAACAAAACUUUGGGGGAAUGGGGGGAAGUUUAUUGGACCAAUGCAAUUUGUCAAGUAGAGUGCAACUUGACAUGGAAUAGCAUGUCAUAUUAUCCUUUUCAAACACCAUAUUCAAUUUAUUUAUUAAAUCUGUAUUAUUUGAAUCCAUAUAUCAAUUUAAAUAAAGAGAUUAAAUUGAUCCUUAAAUGAAUGGUUCGAAAUUUAUAAGAGGAUAUAUGUGUUUCAACACGUUUGAAUCAACUGAAUUAAAACUCAGUCGACGCUUUUUCAAAAGUAAGCUCUAGCUAGUUAAUUAAUUUGUAAACAAGAUAUUGAUUAAAUUGAUAAAUAUAUGCCAUAAAGGGUAUAAACAUAUUUUUUUAAGAUACGAUUGCAUACGCAAUUAUAAUUAACACAUUCAUAUCAUUAGAAUCAGUAAAUUACUACAGAACUCAUACAUGAUAGACUUAAACCAGAAUAAACUUUAAAUUAAGAACUUACCCAUGAUAUUUAUGUGUAACGAGACCUGAGUCUAAGAUUUCAAAAAUCAUCCGACCUUAACAUUCUAUUAAAUCAAAAGUUCAUUGGCUUAGAGAGCACAAAUAUUUAAUAUCAAAGAGAAAACACUAAGGGUUUAUUUGGACGACACAGAGUAGUUAAAUGAUUGUAAUUACAAAAAAUUAUAAUUCCAUUUACGUGUUUAGCUGAUAGAGUGUAAUUACAUUGUAAUUCUCUAUAAUUACAUAGUUCCAUAAUUCAUAUUUAAAAAAAUAUUAAUUACUAUAAAAAUUAUUAUCACGAUAAAAAAUUUCUAAAUAGGUAACAAAAAUUAAUUUCAAAUCAUUGUAUGUAUUAUGUUAGUCAAAAAAAGUAGUUGAUAAUACGAUUGCUAAUAAAAAUAACAAGAAAAAUAAACAUCAUAUGCAAUUUUAUCUAAUUGUUCUAGUGUUCCAUAUUUAUCGGGUUAUUCUUUUUUUAAUAUCUAAAUCUAUAUUAUUAAAAUUAUCAAGAUCUCUUUCUUCCAUGUACUCUUUGAAGUAUGGUUCAUCACAAACCCACAUUAUGGAUGAAGCUAUGAAGUAUGUAACAUGCUAGUAUGAUCCAACUCUUUUUUUAUGCUAUACUAAGGUGAUAUUAUUAAUAUGAGAAAUAUUUUUUUAAAACAACAAAUGUUCUCUCAAUCACAUUUCGAAACCAAAUGUCUCAAAUUAAAAAGUUUGCAAGCCGUCUUUGGUGCUUGCGUGUUUAGCUCCAUUCUUUCAAAUGGUAUCAUACCCCACGAUAUGGUGUAAGAAAACAUUUUGUAUUUACAUAAUUAACAUCUACCAUAUAAUAUUGAGUUCACCGUGCAAAUGGUCUAUAGCUUUAAUCAUAAAAACUUAUAUAAACUUAAUUUGGAGAAAGAAAAAACUUAUAUAAAUUUAAUUCUUUUGUAUUACACAAUGAUGACCGUGCAAAUAGUCUAUAGCCAUUAUAAUAGAAACUUUUAUGAAUAAUCAUAUUAUUUUUAUAAUAUAUAGUAUGGACACGUAAAUAAAUUAUGUCCAUACUAUUAGCCGUAACUUUUUAUAAAUAAAUAUAUUAUAAUACUUUUAUAACAUAUAUAUUUUUAUAAUAAGCUUUUUUAUCAUAACUUUUAAAAAAUUUAAAUAAUAUAUUUUUUGCUAUAACUUUAUAAAAUAUACAUAAAUCAAUUUUAUAAUAUAAGUUUUUAGAAUUUAUAAUAUAAUAGUUCUUUGGCAAUAACCAUCCCGAAUAUUUAUACAUGUUCAUGUUUAUAAUAUAAAAAUUUAUAACUUAAAUUUGCAUAAAAAAUAAUUUUUUUAAAAUUAAAUUUGGAUGUAAUUACCUACGAAACUACUGUAGUUCUCAUCCCCUAUAAGAAUUGAAAAGUGUAAUUGGGAUGCUCUAAUUGCAUUCAAUUCGGUAGAACCCACAAAUUACAAUGGCUAUCCAAAUAUGUUAUCAUUGUGUAAUUACAAGCAAUUACACCCAAAUCCAAUCAUUAGGUGACUUUCCAAAUGCUACCUAAUAAGGAAGUUAACAUUAUUUUGUAUUAUCUCUAUUAAUAUUAAACGUGUUAUUGAGUUUGGUGUCACAAGUAAAAUAGGCACCAACUUAAUUGGAUGAUAAAAAAAAACUUUUAUUUUACAAAGUAAAUUAUAUUAUUUUAAGGGUAUUUUUGUAAUUUCUUAUAGAUAAAUAUACACAAUAAAGUUUGAAUUAAAGAGAAAAUAUUUGAUACACUGCUAAUGAGAUUUAAAAAUACCACAAGUUAGGUUGUGGUGACGACAAGUGUAUAUACGGUAUAAUAAAAAUUUUAAAAAAUAAAUAUAUUGAAAAGGACAAGUGACAAAUAUAUAACUCAGUUUGUGGAGUUAAAAAAUUGCAUCGUUAGUAUACCAGAUACUCGCAUUUCAAUUCAGACCUUCAUAGUUUUCAACAUUUGUAUUUUACCAUUCAACUAAAAUCUUAUUUGUUUGAGAAUUAUAUAAGUUUUUAUAAAUAUGUUUAUUACAUAAUUUUGUUUUUCACCUAAAUUAUGCGUGUUUCAUAAUCUAGUUUACAUAAAAUAUAGUUAACUUUUUUUACUAUUAAAAUUUAUGGAAAAUAUAUAUUUUUAGUAAAAUAAGUUUUUUUUAAAAAAUAAGAAUAUAAAAUUUGUAAUUGAGUAUUAUUUAUUUUAUAAAUUUUGAAAAACCCUUAUUUUAUUGUUAUUAUGACUAUGGGCUUCACUUGAGUCACAACACCAAAGGCAUAUCUUGUUUUUAUUUUUUAAAAAUAAUUUUAUAUAAAAUCAAUAAAAUUUCAAUCAUGAUUAAAUUGUGGAAACCCAUUCGGAAAAAAAUCAUAUGUAGAGGAGGAAAAAUUCACUAAUGUUGACAAACGAAUGAUACAAGAUGAGUUUCGACUACAUAUAUUUAAGGGUUAAAAAAUUAUAUUCUAAUCAAAGUCAAAUAGAAGAAGUAUAGUUCUAUACGGAUUCAACUCGUGCAGGAUUCAUGUCAUAAAAUCUCUAAUAAUUGUUAUCAACUCAUUAUUAUUAUUAUGAAAAAGGACAUCAUGUUAUUAAAUCAUAGACGUGUACAACAUUAAAUAGGAACUUUCCUUUGUCCCUAUCACAUAUUUUCUUUUGACCAUUUUUAUUGGAAAUUUAUUGUUAUGUACCAUUGACUUAAAUUCAACACUUGAUUAAUUAGGAAAAAAUCAUAUCAAAACAUAUCUUAAAUAAUUUUUUUUAAAUUUUUUUUAUACAAACACUAGAUUCAAAUUCAACACUAUCAGUCGAUUGGGUAUUAGUUCGGUUGAUAUCGGUAUUAUUGUCAGCGUAAGAGGUCGUGGGUUUAAGUGCGUUGAAACGCAUUAUCCUCUUAUUUAAGAGUUGAGAGGAAUUAUGGAUAGUUCUAAACAUUAUAUUAAAAAGAGAAGAUAUGAUAAAAACCUAUAUAUAUAUAUAUAUAUAUUUAUAAUUAUAUCAAUAAUUACCAUUAAAAUUAAUCAUUACGAAGACUUAUUGUGAAGGCUUAAAAUCCUAAAGUUUAAUAAUGCGAUUUCAGCCUGACCCUUUGCUUUAAUUGAAAAAAGAAAAUAAGUUUGAAUGUUUCCAUCUGUGAAAUUAUAUUUUAAACCAGACAUUAAAAUAUACUUACUUUUAAAAUGUAAUUAAUUAUAUGUUACAUAAAAAAUUAAAAAAAAAUUAGCAUACACUAUUAAUUAUGAUUUCACAAUAUGUAAGAUAUUAAAAUGAUAAAAGUUUAGAUUAAAUUGUGAAUAAAACGAAACCUUGAGGUAUUAACAACAUUAUUAAUAUUAGAAAUUCUAUCACACGUGUACGCGUGCGAAAACUAUGUUCUUAGAAUACAUGUGUUAGUUUAACAAUAACAUAUAACAGAUAAUGAAACGUAUGACUUAAAAUUAAUAAGUAAAAACACAUGAAAUAUUUAUGAUAUUAAAAUGGCAUUUAAAUACUCAAAUACAUCAUAUUAAGAAUUCUAAGCGCAUUGCAAUUAUUUUUCAUGGUGUUGUCAUUAAUCUCGAGUUAGUGUCGAGUUGACUUAUGGCACUAACUCAAUCAACAAUAUUAUCAAGAUAGAAAUUUUAUCACAUGCAUAUGCAUGUGAAAACUACGUAUUUGGGAUACGAGAGUGUGUUUAAAAAUAACAUGCAAUAAAUAAUAAAACAUGUGGUUUGAAACUAAUUAAUAAUAAAGACACAUGCAAAAUGUAUGAUGUUAAAAUGGAAAAAAUAGAUUAAAUUGUGCGUAAAACAAAAUUUAAAGACGUAAAUAUUUCAGAUUAAGAGUAUUAAAUGCAUUACAAUUGUUUAUCAUGGUGUCAUCAUCAAUCUUAAGUUGAUGCCGAGUUAACUUGUGACACCAACUCAAUCAAUAAUAUUAUCGAAUAUAUAUAAAAUUGAUGGAGGUAAUAAAAUAUGCAUAAUACAAUUAAAAUGUAAAUAUUAUAUUAAAAAUUAAAAUAAACCUAUGGUUUAGUGAUAAAGCUAAUGUUUUAUUGACGUAAAUAGCACAUGCUCAAAUGUAACCGCAUUGCAAAUUUUUAUUGGUUUUUAAAAAAAUAAAAAGACUAAAAUUUAUUUGAAUAAUAUAACUUAUUUUAAUUAUACAAGGACAUUUUUAUAAUUUUACAAACUAAGUUGGUGCACAGUUGACUCGUAAUAAAAUGCGCAUUAUAAAAUUAACAUGUAAAAAAUAUUUUAAGAUUUCGAAUCUUGGAAGUAACAUUGUUGAAGGGGCAGUCACGAACCUCAAACAUAAACAGUAAAACGGAGAAGUAACAAAAUUAAUUGUAGUUUAAGUAAAAAAAAAAGAAAAAGAAAAUUUAAAUACUUAAGUAAAAAAAGAGUAAAAUUUGAGGGGUACUAAGCGAAAAUUAAAAUCCAAUUAUCUAGUCAAUGGUGUAAACGCUUUGAAGUUUCCAGCCUUAGUUGCAGGGUCUUAUGGCGUGCUAAAUCAGAAGCCAAAAACAAAAAGCAUCCCUCAGAUUCUUUUAAAAAAUUUCCAUUUUGACCCUCCAUCUCUACUUCUCUAAUCGCUAUCCCUCUCUUUCUCUCUGGUAAGUUAAGUUUCUCUUUGUUUUUUGAUCUCUGUUCGUGUGUGUGUUGCUUUUCAUAUAAGGCGAUGUUUGGAGAGAAAGAUCUCUCAAGUAAUCUCCCUUGUGUAGGAGAUGAAAGCUCUCAAAGCAAGCUUUCGCGUUUGUUUCAAAACAAGGAGAGUUCAGUUGAGAAAGUGAGUUUUGUACAGAAGGGUAUUGAUUUUCUUAGAGAAUCUAAGGUGGGUCUUGAUGGAGGUUACCCUUUACCAAGAUCUUCCAAGCCUGGGAUUUCUGGCUCCCAAGAACUCACUCUUAGCUACCUCUGUGAGAACCCUAAACUGGGUUUUUGUUCUGAGAAGACCCAAACCCUGUUGGAAAAAGUUACUACCUACAAAGGGAAAGAAGUUGUUGAUUCUGAGAACACACAUCAAGAUGAGAAAUGGGUUGAAAGAGAUUUCCUGAAUUUGAGUGAAAGUAAAGGGAUUUCUUCCAAAAGAGAUGUAGAGGAUGAUUUUCAAGAAAGAGAGACUAGUCAUAGGGAGAAAAAGCCAAAGCUUGAGACUUUGAAUCUAUCUCUAGCUUUACCCGAUGUCUCUCUCUCUCUAACUGCAUCGAAUGCUUUGCAAAAUGGUGAUCCUUCGCAACAUCGGUCUAGGCCUAGUAGGAGUGUACAGUCCUUGGCACCAUCAACCAAUAACACGCAAACCACUUGCUCUAAUGAUUUCACUGCUGCUUCAUUGUCAUACUCUUAUUCUGUGCCGUAUUCACACAAUCCUAGCUGCUCCUUAACACGGAAUUCUACUGAGAAUUAUGAGUAUUCUGUGGGGAAAGAUGAUCAAAUUUGGUGUGGUGGUGAAGGUACUAAUGGAUCCGUGCAUAGUCGUUUUAGGCCAAUUGGUGAUGGAGUUGCUUUGGCCGGUGCCGGUGCUGGUGCUGGGUUUUCCAUGAUGCAGGUUAACCGUCAUGUGAAUAAAGAUUCAUGCACUAGUCUUCAUAGGACUUCUAGUUCAGAUAAUCAUUCAUUUUUCCCAUCUGAAUUGCUUGCUAAGCCUCGCAUAGAUAAUCAUUCAGGGGAUUCAAGGAGAAAGGAUUCAGAGAAUUGGAGAGUUUUGGAGAGUAUGGAUGGAGGGAGAUCCAGGAAGAUUUCUAGACCGGAAAAAAUUCUUCUUGAGAUUGUGUCUGAGUCGAUUCCUGCCAUGGCUCAAAUAAUGCAGGAGCUGCCUGAAGAAACCCUCGAAUCAACCAAAGAAUACUUGAGGAAUCUUAUUGGAACCCCAGAGAGGAAGGAAGAAUUAGUUGGACUUCAAAGUCGACUUGAGAGGAGAUCUGAUCUUAGCAAGGAGACUCUCUCAAAGUGCCAUAAGGAUCAGCUAGCAAUCUUAGUUGCAGUGAAAAUGGGCCUGAAAAGCUUCUUGUCCGGGAAAGUAGGACUUCCCAUGACCGAGCUGCUGGAGAUUUUCUUGUUUAUGAGAUGUAGGAAUCUGACUUGCAAGAGUGUACUACCUGUUGAUGACUGUGAUUGCAAGAUAUGCUCAGGAAAUAAAGGGUUUUGCAGUUCUUGUAUGUGUCCUAUUUGCUUGAAUUUCGAUUGUGCUAACAAUACUUGCAGUUGGGUUGGUUGCGAUGUUUGUUCCCAUUGGUGCCAUGCUGCCUGUGGCAUUCAGAGGAAUCUUAUAAAACCAGGACCCAGCAUAAAGGGACCAUCUGGGGCUAUGCAAUUCCAUUGUAUUGGCUGUGGCCAUGCUUCAGAAAUGUUUGGGUUUGUUAAGGAUGUAUUUUUAUACUGUGCUAAGAACUGGGUUCUUGAGACAUUGACAAAGGAGCUAGACUGCGUGCGAAAGAUUUUCCGGGGCAGUGAUGAUUCGAAGGACAAGGAACUAUACGUCAAAGCUGAUGAGCUUUGCAACCGGCUGCAAAACAAAAUGAUGUCUGCUUCAGAUGCUUGCAGCAUCAUUAUCCAGUUCUUCAACUGUAUGUAUCUUUUGUUCUGUCUAUAUUUUCUGUGCAAACUAAUUCCACGAAUACGGAUAUAGUUCAUCACAAAUUCAUUAUAACUAGUCAAACCUGAGAGUUCAGUGCUUUUGAUGAUUGAGAAAACUGAUCAGCAAAACAAAGUUCUUAUGCUACAAGAAGGAUGCCUGUCUUUUGUUGUUUAAAUUUUAUCUUUGAUUUGGCUGCCUGCAACUCAGAUUUGCACUUUGCUCUUUGAUUAGGACCAUUCAUGAAUUAGUUGAAUAAGCAUAGUCUUGUUUAUGGUUUACCGGUUCCUUUGAACUUAAUUCUUUUGUUCUAUAAACAUCCAUCUUAGUAGGCAUCCGUGUUGUAGUUUUCCGUCACGGAGUUAGUUAUAUUGCUGACAAGUCCAGUGAUUAAUUUUCAUGCAUCACUCAUUUUAUGAUAUUCAAGUCCCAACUAAUUCUACCUCAUUUUCCUUUUUGGUCCGCACAUAUAGACUCUGAUGGUUUGUCAGACUUUCCUACCUCCGGUGCAUGUUCCAAAGAGUUAACAACAACUCAAGUUGACCUUCGAAAAGAUGAAUCAUCCGUGACACCAGGCGCUUCUCUUCCUCAGAAGCUCGUGUUUUACAGCACAAGCUCAGCAAGUGGGCAUGAUUUACUUCCGAACGAACACCAUCGGAAGGACCUCAAAGCUUCUCUCAUGAAUGACCUAAAGAGUGAAGAUGAAUACCGAUUUGGAAGGUCAUCAAACAAUGAUGGAUUUGACAGCUUAGAAAGCAUGGUAAGAAUUAAGGAAGCAGAAGCAAUAUUGUUCCAAAGCAAGGCCGAUGAAGCACGGAGAGAAGUGGAGAGUUACAUGAGGAUGAUCCGGGCCAAGUCCGAAAAGUUGGAAGAGGAAUAUGCUGAGAAGCUAUCCCGACUUUGCUUACAGGAGACGGAGGAAAGGCGAAGGAAUAAAAUGGAAGAACUUAAGGUUUUGGAACAUUCACAGUGUGAUUACUACAAAAUGAAACUAAGAAUGCAAGCAGAGAUUGCCAGUUUGUUGGAGAGAAUGGAAGCUACAAAGCAGCAAUGGGUUUAACUCUUUUCUUUUUUGUUUGUUUUCUUCUUUUUCUUAAUUUAUUGGUUAACAAUUAAUUAAUGCAAAACGUGUGGUUUGUUCCAAGUUUUUAACCUUCUGGAUUCUACUUGUUCCCCCCCAAUGAGAAAUGAAUGAUUGUACUGAGUUGUGAAAAAUUCUUUUAAUGGUAAACCUUCAUAGCCAUUGAAAAUUGAGAGUUGAAUGGGUAUCAAAAUUGUAAUGCUUGUUGCUAUCGCAAUAUAGAAUAAUCACGUUUGUGCUGUUCAUGCCAAUCUGCUCCCUAUGCAUAUACUAUAUAAUAUUUCCAUGGCACCAAGAAAAAAGAAAGUGAUUGGUUCCCUAGAAAAUGUGUUGUAUGGAUUGGAGAAUAAAGGUGAAAGGCGGCAUCAACAGGUGACGCCCACAAAUUACGAGAAUUUGGGACCAUUGAAAUUUUGAAUUGAAAAUGCGUAAAGAUCAUCACCAUUUUCUUUUCUGGUUUGUAAAACCGGUUUUCCUGUCUGGACUUUCACUUUGAAAUUUGAGCUCAAUGGACCCUACUGCACCCACUUGUGGAGCCACCCAUUAAAAGCCGUGAACCUAGACAUCAUAAUUUACAUAAUAUAUUUUUCCUUUAAUAUAUUUGAUGGGGACUCCUCCCACUGGGUUUUUGCUAACCAGUGUUCGUAUAACUUUAAUGUUCCAAAAUCAUCAAUUAUUGCAUUUAACAUAGAUGAUCAUUUAGAGAGGGAGAAAGUAAAUUCUUGGGGGAAGGAGGGUUUGAUAUUCUUUUUGACAGAGAAGAGAGGGCUGGGAGGGUGGUGUUUGGGUGUAAUCAUUGAGCAGCAACUGGCAAUUUUGCUUUGACUCUUCCACUGUAGGAAAAUUCCAAGCUGUAUGCAAAGCCCAUACUGCUAUACCCUUCAACAACCGUCUAUGCAUUUGAGCGGCAGAGGGUAGUCUUUCCUGCGACGGAACUGGUUGGCAAAUAAAGCAAAGCACAUGCCCUCUAUUGCAAUGUGAAUCAUGGAUGCUCGCCAUUCUUCCCUGGCAUUGCAGUUGGUGCACAAUCCAUUUGAGUACAUGUGAAUAUGGUGGACUAAAUUUAAAAAAGGAAAAAGAAAAGAGAAGAGUGAUGUUUGUAAUGGAAGAAUGGCAAGCUCCAGUCAGAGAAAGAAAUAAGUGAUAACAGCAAUGCUAGAUCAUCAUUCAACGAUGUGCACAAACAAAUGCUGUUUAUCUAUUUUGUAUUUGCAGGGUGAAUUUAACAGAGCAUUUCAAUCAGAUUUCUAUGGGGGAGAAUUGAUGGAAGCAGAAUGGUGCAGUGACAGGAAGCAAGGAGCAAGGAGCAAGGAAAGAAGAAGAAUGGUGGAAACAGGGAGUAGCAUGGAGGGUUAUCAGGGAAACGGGGAGUAGCAUGGAAACAGGGAGUUGAUUUCUUGAUGUGUAAUUUGAUCUUCAUGAUUUUAACUCUUAAAAUGUGCUCGAAUGUUUUACUCGGUGGUUAAAGGUUAUUCAUCUAUAAAAUUAUAUUUUUAUUAUCGUAAAAUAUAUAAUUUAAUUUUAAUCCUAAAAAUUUUUUAAGCUCCGCCACUGAUAACAUACAAAAUCAUUUUUAUAAUUUAAGUCCAAUUUUAUUAAAUUUAAUAUUGCAAAUUUAUUGUUUAAUGUUUUAAUUUAUCAAACAAUAUCGUUUAUAAAUGAUUAAAAAUGUUCAUGAAUCAUGUGAGCUAAGUUUAUAAACGGUAUUAAUAUAUUUUAUACUUACCCAAAUUUAAUUUAACUCGAAAUAUAGAUAUCAAAUUUUAACAAAGUCCGCCUAUAUUUCUAAUAGUUAAUCCGAACUCAUUUUCAAAUCCCUAAUAUUAUUAUUAUUUUUAAAAAUUAUAAAAAAAUAUUAUUAUUUUUAAUUAUAUUAUCAAGAGAGAUGUGAAAGUUUCAUUUGACUAACCGAGUAGAUAGCAAACAGUGAAGAAGUUACAUUAGAAUUUACUUGUUGAGGGGUGAAGGUAGAAAAUUUGUUUAGGGGCUGAAAUUAAAUUUUAUUUUUUAUAAUAGUAAAAAUGUAAUUUUACCAUUUAAAUGGUCUAUAUUUUUGUAAUUUUUAAAGAAUUAAAUCAAAUUUUUAUCAUUUUUAAGAGGGGCUAAAGCACAAUUUUACAUUUAUUACUUUAAAAGACCUAAAUAAAAAAUUCUGAUUUAGGAUUACUGCCCUUGUACCUGUUCCAUUAUUUUCCAUGUCUGAUAUUUCUUGCUGCUAGAAAGCAAUUAAAUUAUUUUUGAAUUAAUUGAAGUUGAAAUUGAAAAUUAAAUUAAGUAGUGGUCGUAAUUUUACGCUACGGGUAAUUAAAUUUAUUUAUUUAUAAACUUUAACAUGGUAAAGUCGUCAUAAUUAAUAUUAUUUUGAAAAUAAAAAACUGGUUAUUAAAUUGAAUAAAUUAUAUGAUCAUUGAUUUAUAGAUUCGAUAACAUACAGAGUUGUACUCAAUACAUAAAUAAGUUUAGUAAACUCAUUUGAAGUGGGAUAUGCGACACACAGUAGGCAACUUAUUGAAUCUGAGAACUUAGUGUGACUUAGUGCGUGCCGCCCACCUUAGAGACUCCGGUGGGAUUUGAUAUUUUCUAUUAAAAUAUUAUUAUUUUGUCUCUUUUUAUUUAAGUAGAACUCUUAUGAAUUUUUCCUCUUAAAAUAUAAUCAUCAUUGAGCAUAGCUAUUCAGUCGGAAAAUAGUGAGAUUUAUUUUUCCCAAAUAAAGUCUAUUUUCGUGAUAGCUCGAAUUAAGCUUCUUGACCAUAGAGAGAAUUAACCUUCCCACCGGAAAGUUAAAAGUCUUUAUUGUGUGAGCAAGUUGUUAAUUAGAGUCCAUUCUCUAAGCAAAUCGAAAGUUCAAGAACAACAGAGAAGGUCGUGUUGGGUGAAAGUCAAAAAUCAAUUAAAAAUUCGUUAAAUUGAAAAUCCAUGUACUAAUUUGAUAAAAUUUAUUGUUAUAAUAAUACAAAAACUUAAAAUUUCAUUGUUUAAACAAACUCGUUUUUUAAACCAAAUUUUCUAAUACUUCUAGCAUAAUUCUAUUGAACACUUGAUGGACUAAAGAUUUUCAACACAAACAAAACCAAAAUCAGUAAAAAAAUCAACCAGAAUCAUUCAUGGAAAGAAAAAAAAAAAAAGGAGCAAAGAGCCUCAUGACAACCUUGCCAUCGGCUGCCACAAGCAUAAACUCAUUUUCAAUCAACCCUUCCUCUCUCCUUCCUUUAAUGAGCACCUUGACAAACACCUCCGCAACCUUCACCUCACUGAAGAAUAAGGGAGUCUAAAAUUGAAGCUAUGCCAGAGAGGAGGAAGGAGAAGGUAAGAAAGAGGGGCUUCAAUCCGUGCUUGGCAUUAUGCAUCAAUUUUAGGUCGAUUUCGGGUUCAGAUUCAUAUUGUUGUGGUGCUUUACUACCACUAAGUUGUUGUUAUAUUAGUUCUGAAUGGAUCUUUGACUUGAAUAUUUUACUAAUUUGAUUUCGAGAAAUACUAAAGAAGCAUGUAACGAUUUAACUUUUUUUAGUUUUGUUUUGUUUUUAAUUUGUUAUUGUACUCUAUUGAAUGAUAAUCUUUUUUAUUUUUCGUACAUAUUAGUUCUUUAACAACGUUUUCGAGAUUUUAUUUUCCUAUAAAUUUUAUAUAAAAUUUCUAAAUAACUUUGAGGGUUUUUUUUAUACUUUUUAUGUAGAAUCAUAGUCAAAAAAGUUGAGGAAUAAAAUUGUUAUUAUAACAACUAAAAAAUGUCGGGUGAUCAAAAAAAUUAUUUUCGUACUUUAAUGAUCAAAUUGUAACUUUUUUAAUUAAAUGACUAAAAUGAAAACUUUUUCUAUUCUAAUGAAUUGUGAUGUAGUGAAUACUUUCUUGCUUGCUUUCUUUUCCUAAAAAUUCUUUAUUCAAAUUGCUUUACUCUUUUUUUUCAAAAGAAAAAAAAGAUAGAUUCCUUGUUCUUUCUUUUGAAUUUGAACUGGAUCGGUGGUAAAAUUACUCAUGUUACUGGUUUACCGUUUAAAUUAAUAAAUUAUUAAAAAUUUUAAAAGGAAUAAAUAAUAAAUUAAAAGAUUCAGUUCGUACCAGUUCUCGAGUUAAUCAGUUCAAAGUCCCUUUUUGAACUAAUACCUCGGUCAAUUCUUCAUCCGAUCGGUCGAUCUAUUCAGUUCGAACAACAUUGAUGACAUAGAGUAAAUUAUUGACAUUGAAUCCAAGUAAAUCAAAACAUUACCUGUAAAAAUAUCAUAGAAGCUCCUGGAUUAAGAGUUAGAUUGCAUUUGGUCCUCUUUAUUUAAAAAAUUGGCAAAUUAGUCAUUGUACGUUAUAUCAAAGAGCAUACUAGUCUUUUCAUUUAAAACUCCAUUCAUUUUUACCUUUAACUGACUACGUGAUUGAAAUAGCGAGUAGGUUGUUCUUUAAGUGGUUUUCAAAUAAUUAUUAAAAAAUUUAUUUAUUUUUAAGAUUUGCAUUGAACUAAUGAUCAGUUUGCUCUUUUUUUUUGUGAAUUACAACAAGACAAAGUCCGAACAACAAAUGCGACUAGUGCAACUCGAAUCUAAGCCACACAUGGGGCCAUGAAUACCCUGAUCAUCAAGCCAUUAAUACAUGGGGUUCAAUCAGUUUGCUCUUUAAUGUAACAUAUAAUGGUUAAUUUAUUCUAUUUUUUUAAUAGAGAAAGUAAAAUACAAUUUAACAUUUAACGCAUACGCCUCAACGAUACUAUUACCAAAUACUAGCAUUUUAAAAAAUAAACUUUUAAAUUAAGAUACCUAACAACCAUUUUGGGUUGAUAAAAUUAUAAACAUGAAUUAUAACAUCAAUCCAAUGUAAAAUUCACCCAAAAAAAAUAAAAAUAAAAAUCACACACACGAUUGAAAAGAAGGAAAGAAAAAAGGGGGUUGAUUAAUUAAAACAGUAAUUGAUCAAACAUAACGGGCAAGAGCAACACUGAGAUCAACAAAUAUGCCGAACAAGAGGAUAGACAGUCCCAAGAAAUUGACCAAACGAGCUUCACGGUUACUGCGCAGUCCAAUGAAGGUAGCUUUCUCCAACAAUCCAGUGAGAGCCGCCGCUAUCGACAUGUAUAGCAAUGUCCGGCCACCGCAUAUGUGCCAUGGAAGCAGGCUUUGUCUUGUUACGUCUGGUUGAGUGAACAUAAAUGUAAUCAACCCUGCUAACCACUGCACCAGCCCCCACAAUAAUCAAAUUUAUGUAACAAUAAUUUAUAUAACUCCCAAAAAGUUUAGGAUAAUAUUAAAGUCUGAAAUUUACCUGCAACACAAACAAAGAAAUGGCGGCGAUACCGAUCCAUGAAUGCAAACUGUAAACGUCUUCAAUGUUGGUCAUAUCGUGGUACUUGAAAACAGCACAAAGUCCCACCACUGCAAGCACAAAUGCCAGAAGCUGAAGUAUCAUAUGGACUACCUUCUGCACCAUGUGUGUCGCUUGUACUGUCUUGUACACCAUCAUUGCUACAUUUUUUUUUUAACAUGAUCAGAAAAAAAAAAAGAUUCAAAAGUUGAUUUUUUUUUCCAUGAUCAGUUUUCCAAUUACCUUCACCAGACAGAAAUAUGAAUCCGCAAAACAUAAGAAACGGGUGAACCUGCAUGCAUGAGAAACAAUGAAAUCAUCUUUUUCAUAAUUACAACAUGUAAAUAUUUGGGUUGGUUUUACUUACAUUGAAAACACGAACAGCAUUGUAAGAAUCAUAUUCGAUACCUCCACGAUAAUGCAGCAACCAAACGAGCAUGAGGGCGAAAGCCAAAAUCCCAAAGACGUGAGCAAAUAUUGUUAGACGAGAAGCUGAACGUUUAUAUGGGGAGACAACUACGUGGUGGUGGGUGGAAUGCAUGGUGAUUAAAACUCAGGGAGUGGGAUUGUUGACAUGAAAGAACAAAGGAUGAAGGCUUAAAUAUAUAAUUAUGUAAUUGAUUCUGCUAAACUGGCAGGGUUUCUUAGAGGAAAACUUUUUCAAAAAUCUACACCUUUGGGAUUGCUUAUUUCAGGGUUUUGGCACUUUGGAUGUAGGAAAACUUUGAGCUUGGGCAAAGCAUCAUCCGUAUUAGUGAAUUAGUUGCAAAAAUUACUAAUUUUAUUACAGCAAAAAGAAUAAAAGGAAAGGGAGUUGUGUAAACUUUCUCGUCCAAGCAAAGGCUAUAGAAGUAGUAACUAAUUAGAGGUUGAACAUGAAAGUUGUGGAUUUAAUCCUAUACUUUAAUUUUAUCAAUUUUAGUUUAUGUACUUUUCGAAUUGAUCAAGUUUAAUUUAUAUAUUCGAAUUUUGAAAUUUUAAUCCCGACUCAAAUAGUAGCAGUUAGAUAUCUAAUCAUGUACUAUAUAUACAAUUAUAGAUUUAGUUCAUAGUCUCCAAUUGAAUCAUUCUAAGUAAUGGUGGAGCCUGUAUUUUUUUGUAGGGGGCUGAAAUUAAAUUAUAUAUUUACGAUAGUAAAAAUAUAAUUUCAUCAUUUUAAUAGCCUAUAUCUUUAUAAUUUUUAAAGGGUUAAAUCAAAUUUUUAUCAUUUUGGGGGGUCAAAGUAUAAUUUUACCAUUACUAAUUUAAAAUUUUAUAAAUUAUAAAGGGUCUAAAUUAAAAUUUUACCAUUUUAAGAGGGACCAUGGCCCCUCUAGGUCUCCACUGCGCUUCGCCACUGAUUCUAAGUCACUAUACCUUUCAAAUUUUGAA